rnacentral:lncRNA from 1 species
GACGGCAAGGCUGCAGAGGUCGAGGUUCUUGUAGAAUUGUUAAACUAAGUGGAAAUAAUAUGCUGGAAGCGUUUAAUUUCAUUCACGCUUGCUGCCAUAUAGAUAGUUACAUGUGAUUAAGAUUACAAAGAGUCCUAUUGGAAUAGAGGUUCCCAUUUAUAUCUGAAGUAUACGAUAAUACGUAUCAACAAUGAUUUGAUAAUAACAGAGAAAAAAUAGUUCUAUACUCUAUUGGACUCUUGUUUAACAGUUCUCGAGGAUGAGUCGAGAGACUUGGUUGAAUGAUAAGAGAGGUUCGGUAUCUGGAUUUGAAGAGAUGUGAAUAGCUGGAUUUGAAGAGAUGUGAAUAGCAGCCAAAAAGAAGUUCGUUAAUUAAGAGAAGAGUAGCCACAACAACCAUGGCUGCCAUUGUUUCUCUGCAAGUUAGAGUAGAUAGAGAAAGUGAGGGAGAAGGUGAGAGCCUUGAGAAAAAGGAGACAAAAAGUAUACAUUGUUAAAUAAAAAUUAAUAAUUUAUUAAUAAUUGUUGAAUUAUUAAUAAAAAGAUUAAUAAAUUAUUAAUAAUUGUUAAUAAGAAAUUAAUAAUUUAUUAAUAAAAAUUUAUUUUUUAUUCCAAUAAGGGAAAUAAUGGGUCCCGCUAUUGUCACGUCAUCAUUAACGGCCAAAUUGACAGAAAAUCUAAUAGAUGUUUGACAUUACAACAAAUUUAUAAGUUGGGGUAUGAAAUUGUGGUUCGACCCAUAAUUAAGUAAGGUAAUUUUGUGUAAUUUAUCCAUUAGGUUUUUUUCCCGACGUCAUAGCAAAUUUACUUCUUUUUUCUAGGAUUUUGUAGUGAAACAAACAUUUCUUCUUUAUUUUUCUUUGUUUCUCGAAUUGGGGAAUUUAGACUAAAUUAAGAUUUGGAUUGGGGGAUUUCACUUAAAAGCAAAGAGAAAAGAACUCAAACAAACUGAAUGUUGUUUGACAAACACAAAUAAUAAAUUAAAUGUCUAAAAAAAAACGCAAUAGCCAUAUAGGGAUGAUGGUUUUGGAAAUAAAUUAAAAUGUAUGGACGUCUUUUAUCCUACAUGGCAUCAAUUUUAAAAAUUGAGCUUUAUUUAGAUAUUUUAAUAUACGGGAGUUUAUAUUUAGAAAUUAACCAUUGUAAGAGGAUAAAUCUAAAGCACCUAUUUCAGUCAUCCAUCGUAAGAAUCCUCAUGUUGCCCAAAAAAUAUUCAUAAGAAACCACACAGCAUCCAUGUGAAAGUUCUUUUUUUGUUCGCAACUUUACCGAAGAGGGGAGAUGACGGCAAGAGAGAAGGUGGAGAGAAUUAACAUGGGAUAGUAUUUGGUGGACACCAUUUUAUUAUGCAUCCCAGGUUAAUUGAAAGGCCCGCACAUAUGAGAAAAUAAAGUAUUACAAAUGCAUAAACAAGCUUAAACAUUUUCUAGAGUGAGUAUUGCUUCAACAAUUGGGGAAGUGUCACUGCCAGUUGACAUGAUUGACACGCAUCCAUUCCAUCUGUCCUUGCUGUACGCUUGACCUUUCUCCAAGUAACCAUAGAUUAAGCUCCAAUAAGAUUCAAAGUGAUUAAGGCCUCGAAUUUCUGUAAUGACCUGCACUUACGUGCAUAUCGCAAGUAUUUAAGAAAUGUCAAAUGUGUUUAAUUUUUCUUAGUCGUUAGUGUAAAUACUAAAUAAUAUAAUAUCGUUAAUAUAUAAAAAAAGAGUCAUUAAUACUCACCGUGUUGUCCGAUUUAGUCCUGUCCCAUGGGUUGCUCCAAGACAACAUCCAGUCGCAUUCCUCGUUAACAAUAUUUAGGCCUCGGUACACAACAGCAGCAUUGGAUCCAGAAGACUCUCCGGCAGUUUUGACGUGCAGAAACGCACCCCACUGACCAUUUGCAAUCAGUGGUGGGUAUGGUGCGUUCCCGAUGUGCCCAUACCAAUCUUUCUUAUAAGCAUAUCUUAUGGUCUCCCCAGUUGCAUUGUAAACAAGGCAGAGUGUGGAGACUCCGUCGCCAUACUGCUCCUUCAGUUUCUCCACAUGUGUUCGAGCGUUGAAGUCCUUCUCCGCGGCAUUUUUCAUAUUCAAUGCCACGUAUGCCCUGUCUAAUCUUCCUAUUUGCUUGUCGGCAUACUCUGGCAUCCCCUUCAAAGUUUCAUCCGUUAUGGGGUUGCCAAAAACGUUAUACGCCAUCUUAACUUGAUUAAUUCUCUCUCUCUCUCUCUCUCUCUUGAUUUUCCUCUAAAGCAUUUCUAUCAGAGGUAAUGCGUAUUUAUAAUCCCAUGAGCAGAGCAGGGAUGUCGACCAAAAGGAAAAGUCUGAAAUGUCCCUUAAGAAAAGAAAAAGAAAAGACGGUUACGCUCUCAUGAUGCAGCUAGCUUUGGAAUCACUAUUAUUAAAAAUAAAAAUAAAAAUAAAAAACGUGAGGGAUGCAUGCCGCAUGCAUGGAAUCACAUUAUCACGUGAACAAUAUUUUCAAAGUUAUAUGUCUGUACCAAUUGUGACAGCGAGGCCCUUCUCCAAGAGUACAGAUUUCUGCUCCUACGUGAGUUCCGUGAGUUUAUUUUCUUUAAAGGCGUAAGAAGAUGAAAUGGAUAAAAUUAUAUUGUACUAGAAUGGCUGACACGGUAAAUUGCUUAUUCAAUUACCUCAUACCAAGAGUGUGUCACUUUAAUGGAAUAAUAAAAAAACUAAGUAGGCACAUUUUUUUAUUUUGUUUCAUCUUUAACAUCUAUUUGUAUCUUUUAUUUUUGUUGUUUUCCUUUACAUGGAUUACUUUAUUGUAGAGAGAGGUGUGGGGCCCGAUUUGUUUAUGCCUCUAUAUGUGACUCAUCAAAAUGGAUUGAAUACACAUUUGCCUACUCCAAUAUUGGAGAUACUCUUGAGGGAUGGGGAUAAGAAACUCAUGAAAGGUUGCGGACCCUCCAGUUUGGCAGAGAUGUAUAUAACUGUUGAAAAAUAUGGUGUAAUUGUUAUAUCUUAAUCACAAACAAAAUCAAGAAAUAAUUCUUGCAAGUAUAUACCAAUUGAAUUACGAACUCUAACCAUAUACAAUGUCCAAUGCACAUAAUAUGGUUAGAAAAACAGAAAAUUGCGGUUGAGUCAAGAACUUGGUCCUCUCUCCUUAAGACAAUUUAUGCAUCUCACUAUGGUGCUCAUGGUUGAUUUUGCGCUUGUUUCCUAAAUACAAUGACCUCGUCCUUACAAUAGUAAUCAUAAGGCCCUAGCGAACCACCAUUGUUCUAAACUCUCUCAAAGACUUACUUAAUUUCUAAGUUAUGAUGAUAUGACUCACAAGAACUUGUAUGACGCAGUUAAUUAAUUUAUUAAUGACUAUAUAUAUAUUAGUGACUCUUCAAAAUAGUUCUCUUUCUUUGGAGAGAAACCCCUUCGGUUAGUGGGGCUGUCCCACCAUGUAUGUGUAUUUUUUUUAGCUUUAUAUUUAUAAAUUCAUUGAAUCCAACGGCUAAGAUUUAAUAUGAUCAAAUCUAACGAUAAAAAAUAAAAAAUCUAACGGUCCAAAUUUAAAUCCAAUGGCUAAAAUAAUAAUAAAAAAAUUUCUUUCAUGUGUUUCAUUUUCUUUCAUAUAUAGUGUUUCACGAGUUUCAUGGUGUCAGUUUAUUGAUUUUCAAUAUUUAUUAGAAUCUAAAUAUUUUUAGGUUAAAAUGUUCAUAAAAUUAGAUUAGGAUAGCCUAAAAAAAUUAUCCUAAAUUCAUUCUUUAAUAAUCUCGGGCUAAAAAUUUAACCCAAAAGGGUUGGAGGAGAAAAACAGUUUCUGAGUUAAAAAUUUUAGGUUUUAACCCAAGAGUUGGAGAUGGUCUAAGGGGGCGGGAGGGUGAGUUAAACAUCACAAUGGGCUAGCAAAUGUGGUUGAAAUUCGCCUUUGGCGAGAAUCGAACCUAAGACCUCUUAUUUACAAAUGAAGAGGAAUACCAAUAGACCGUAGUAUUAAGUAGCGUCAACAAUUGUAUUUUUUUAACAAACAAUAUUAUCUACACUAAGGGAUGAGAGAGUGGGCUAAACCUCACAAUAGGUUAGCAAUAAUGUGAUUCAAAGUCGCCUUUAGUAAGAGUCAAACCUAAGGUCUCUCACUUGUACAAGUGAAGAGGAAUACCACUAAAUUGUAGUACUAAUUAAGUAGUGUCAACAGUUGUAUAUUAAAGGCAAAAGUUGCACUUUUUCUCGUUAAUUUUACAGUCACAACCUUAUUCAGGAACUCAUUAGAUAUAAUUUUCGUUCAAAUAGUUUAAUUUAAUUCAUUUUGAAUUAGCCUACAUGGGCUGCUUGAUUGGAGAGACCACAGGCCACAUAGGGCAGAGAUACAGACAACCACAAGACCGAAAUACCUAAACAAGAAGAGAGAAGACAAGUCCAAACCACGUGGAAACAGCUCACUUUGUGUAUCACCAGAGUUUUUCAAUGUGACUGGCACACGAGGUGAUAUACCAUGUGUUACUAUACAAAUGAUGGGAUAUGUAUGUUAAAAAGUUAAUAACUUAAAAAUUAAAACUUUCAACCACUUACAUAAAAACACAUGAUGUACCACACGUAUUUCAGUCACAAUGAAAAAUUUAUCGUGUAUCACACUUAGAGAAUCUCCCUCAAAUGACCUGUUUUAAACGAGGCUAAAACUGAAAAAACCAGUGCAUCAAACUUUGGAAAUCUCCCUCAAUUGACCCAUUUUACAGAAGCAAACGAGGCCGGCCGCGAAUCCCCAAUAAAGCUGAAAUAAUCUUCCACAAUCUUGAAUUUUCCUUCUUGUUCACGGAAUCUCUAUCACGUGAACAACGUUUUGGUUUCACGUCAACAGUUGAUAUUGACAUUGAGGCGGAUUCUAGAGAAAGAAAGUUUGUUGAUAUUGUCAUUGAGAAGUUCGUUGAUAUUGUUGUUUAGUCAUCUAUAUGUGUUAAACCAAUCAAUAGUUUUGGUAACAAGUAGCAUUCUCAUGAUGAACCGUCGAUUUGUUUUAUACGUAUAAAUCGCUUAAUGUAAUUCAAAGACACAUUUGGUGAGAGUCAAACCUAAGGCUUUUCAUUUACAAGUGAAGAUAAAUAAUAUUAAACCGUAAUACUAAGUGACGUCAAUAAUUAUAUAUUAAAGGCAAAGGUUGCACUUUUUCUCGUUAAUCAACAGUCACAAUCUUAAUUUUCGUUCAAAGUUUAAUUUAAUUCAUUUUGAAUUAGCCCACAUGGGUUGCUUGAUUUGAUGUUGAUGAUCUGGAAGACCACAGGCCACAAAGGGCAGAUAUACAGACAACCACAAGGCCGAAACAGCUAAAAACAAGAAGAAAGAAGACGAGUCCAAACCACAUGGAAACAGCUCACUUCCUGCAUCACACUUUAAGAAUCUUUCUCAAUGACCAGUUUUAAACGUGGCAAAAACUGAAAGAACCAGUGCAUCAAACUUUGAAAAUCGAUGAUCUGGAAGACCACAGGCCACAAUGUUGGAGGAAGAUGGAUAUGAGAGAAUAUGGAAAAGAGUUUAAACAGAAAACUGAAGCUUUUAUUGAUUUCAAAUUGAUUACAACACUAGGCCAUCUUAUUGGCUAUUUAUAAUAACAUUCAGACCUUUUCAUUAAAGACAUAACUCUUGGAUUAGUUCCAAGAGUUGCAGACACAACCCUUGACUUCUAAUGAGAUACAACUCUUCCUAAACAUAGCUCUUCUCAAGAGACACAACUGUACUUAACAACUGAUACAACUUACAAGGAGAAAAUGCAUUACGUUUAACACACAAAGGGCAGAGAUACAGACAACCUAAAGGCCGAAACUGCUAAACAGGAAGAAAGAAGACAAGUCCAAACCACAAGGAAACAGCUCACUUCGUGUAUCACACUUUGAGAAUCUUUCUCAAUGACCCGUUUUGAACGAGACAAAAACUGAAAGAACCAGUGCAUCAAACUUGAAAAUUGAUGAUCUGGAAGACCACAGGCCACAAAGGGUAGAGAUACAGACAACCACAAGGCCGAAACAGCUAAACAGGAAGAAAGAAGAGAAGUCCACACUACAAGGAAACAGCUCACUUCGUGUAUCACACUUUGAGAAUCUUUCUCAAUGACACGUUUUGAACGAGGCAAAAACUGAAAGAACCAGUGCAUCAAACUUUGAAAAUCUCCCUCAAUUGACCCAUUUUACAGAAGCAAAACGAGGCUGGCCGCGAAUCGCCAGUAAAGCUGAAAUAAUCUUCCACAAUCUUGAAUUUUCCCUCUCAUUCACGGAAUCUCUAUCACGUGAAUAACGUUUUGGUUUCACAUCAACGGUUGAUAUUGACAUUGAGGUGGAUUAUAGAGAAAGAAAGUUCGUUGAUAUUGUCGUUUAGUCAUCUAUAUUUGUUAAACCAAUCAAUAACCUUGGGGACAAGUAGUAUUCUCAUGAUGAACCGUCAAUUUGUUUUUUGCGUAUAAAUUGCUUAAAGAUCUCCAAAUUCAUUUUUUUUUUUUGCAUAUAUGAUUUUUAAAUAAUGAUAGAUAAUGAACGGUUUCAAUCGUGAAGUUUGUUCAUUAAUCGUAAGUGGGGGGGGGGGGCGCAGGAAACACAAGCAUUAUUCAUCUAAUAUAUAAUCUAUCGUUGGCCAAUGUCAAUGUAGAAAAAUAAGGAAAUACAAUUAAUUAAUUAAUUAUAAUUGUUAGAGUAUUAAAAUGAUCUAAAUAUAGCAUGCACGAUAAGUAAAUGCAGAGACUCGGGAUCUCCAAAUAUAGCUAAUAUAGCCUCCUUAAAAUUGUUAUCCACGAAAGCAUGAAACAUACAUCAUUUUUAGUGUCUCACGUACGCAUUCAUCUUUAUAUAUGAACGUUAUAUUGAAUAAAUCAAACAGAAACAACAAACAUCAUUAAACAAGAAUGUACUUGUGAGAAGCAAAAAAGUAAGUACCGACCACUUCUUCACUAUAAAUAGGCUAGCUUGUCACUUUGAACUAAGCUAAGCAUCCACCUACCUAAAAAGACUUGCACUACCUACUAGUACUCCUACUACCACCUUUGUUGUACUCCUCCUCCUCCGUCAUAUGGCUCAGGCGGAAUUUAAUCACUUUACCUAUCUCAGUCCUGAGCAGCUGCGCAAGCUUGCUCGUAUACUUUACUACCAAGAAGCUGAGGCCAUUAAGAAUAUCCAGUUCGAAUACGAAGCCAAACUCGCGAAAUACCUCCAGGAUUCCAAAGCUUGUUAUGAAUCGGCGAUAAGGCUUUUGGAUAGUGCUACUACGUUGGAGCCUUGGUUUGAUCACGGCGACAAGGUUCGGGCUUCUAUUGCUCACGACAUCUACGGUUAUAUUGAAAACGCUGCCAACCAUGCAAUCCAGUUCGUGAAAAACUUUUAUGUGCGAAUGGAUUACGUAAACAAGAUUAAAAAGCAUGUCAAUGAACUCAGUGGUAAACUGGAUGAUCAAGUGACCAAUAUGGAAGAGCUGGCAAAAGAAGCUCACAAAUUCAGGAACGACUCGUUGGAGAUCGCCAGGGGUAGUCAAAGUCCCGCAUCACGCCAAUACUCCAGAUGGAUCAAGGAAACCGGCAAGACGUUUGAAGAACUAGUGCAGAAGUAUGUAUGCGUACGUAUGUUGUGUGUGUGUGUGUAUUAGCUAUAUAUAUAAUCACAAAAACAUACGGACCCCUUCUUAGCAGGAAUCCCAUAUGUGUGUAGUUUCAAAAUUCAAGAAUAAUUAAUUUUGUUCAAAUAGUUGUUUGACCAAAAAAAUUGCUUAAACAAUUUCUAAUUUUGCUUUCUUUUUUCUGACAAAUUCUACAAUUACUUUGAUCUAACAUUAGUCUCUUAAUAAUUUUAAUGGGUGCACCAUUCACGCAGGUAUCAGACAGAGCUUGGAUACGGAAGACGUCGUUUUGCAGACCUUGAAGAUUUUGAAAAGAUAAAGGUAAGGAUUGGUAUUGCUAUUUUUAGGAUAAUUAAUACUAAGGAAACUAAAUUUGUAGACAAAAAUUCCAAAUUAAAUGAUGUGUCACCAACAUGAAUAACAUAUAUAUCAACGGUUAAGUAAUAGUUCAAUCAUCAACUUUCAUAACAUUUAGUUUACAACAUUUUGUCUACAAAUUUAGUUUCUCUAACAUUACCCUAUUGCAAAUUUAUGACUCUACUUCAAUUUUUAUUUAUUUUAAAUUUGUCGAUAAUAGUCCUCACUCGUAGAGUAAUUGCUAUGCAUUAGGGGCUUUCUACUUUCUAGUAAUUAUAUUCUACAUCUAUAGGUUGAGGACAGACAACACAUAUUUUUUGACAAAACGUUUGGAAAACAUGCAUAUUUUUUUACAGACGUUUGGAUUAAUCCAACUUCAAACCUUAAUUAAUUUUGUAUGAGCAUGAAAUUUUGUAUUAGCCACAAGAAAAGACCUCAGGGUACGUACGUACAUAAAAAUGAAACCAUCUAUUAGUAUUAUUUACUACUAUAUAUUGUAAUUUGUUUGGUCAACUUAUCGAUGUGUGAUUUUCAAUAUUCUUAACUUGUUUCUAUAUUAUAUACUUUACUUGCUUCUAUGUACGUAGGUGUACGGCACAAUCAUAUCUAAAUCCGGACGGGCAAAUAUUGAUGUAACUGCGUAUUCAAAGAUUUUUGGGGCUGCUGGCAUAGCUGUUCUUAUUCUCGCUGCAGGAAUUUUAGUAUGGGACAUAUAUUCAGCAGACAAUCCACUUCAAACCGCGGCGCGUGACGCUGUAACGACUGCAGCAGCAAUUGGUGGUGCGAUGAUAGGAGAAGUUGUUGGAGUUGCCCUCGCAUCCAUGGUCACUGGCAAUGCUUUGUUAGUACUCAUGGCGGGAAUAACAGCCGGCAUCGCCGGCGCUUUUCUUAUCGGAGAAUUCGCCAUCUGGUUGAUUAAUGUGAUUUUUGGGUCUGGAGGCAGUGCCCCAUUGAGCACGAUGGGGCAUCGAUGUUACGUCACACAGUUGCCCGAGGGCUCAGUUCUGGCACGCCAAAUUGCACAUCAGCAAUCUUAAGAGGGUGAGGAUCUACAUAUCCUUAGCGGUUAUGAGCACUACUACACCCCAAGUCUACAUAUUAUCCGUACUGAAUAAUUUGAGGCCUAUUUUGUGCUAUACUACUUUUAAUUUGUACCGUCAAUAUGAGAGAUAUUGUAAAUCUUAUCUAAAUAAGAAACCAAAUCCAUAAAUAAAGGUAAUGCCAUGCAAUAAGUAUCGAUACUUUCAUUUAAUUGAACAUGAAGGCAAUGCUAGUGGUGCGAAAGCAAUCAUGCCUAUAUACCUGAUAGGAUUAGACAUGAUAAAAGGGAAAUUGCAAGAAAGUAAAUGUAGAAAUGGGAAAGAAAUCAAAUUAAAUUAAUAUAUUCAUUCAUACAGUGGCGAAGCCAGAAAUUAUCGAGGGGAUGGGCGAACUUAGAAGAGUGCAAAGUAAAAAAAAAUGGCAAACCAACGAGUGAUAAAACAUAAAUUGUUGCUAAAUUUUCUUGUCAUGCGGAUGAUAUGGGAUUUAGGUUGGCAAGGUUUAUUUUGGAGACAGUGUCUACGAAUUGUUUCACGAUAAUUAGGUGGAUAAUCAAGCAUUCGACGUCUAUGUCUAGGGUCUUAUAGUAUCGUUCUAUUACGUAACUGUAUAAUGGGAAGAAAAAAAAUCUUAGACUUUUAAUCCUAGAGUAGACUACACUAAUAUGACUAAUAACUAAUCAAACUAACAAUUCAAUUAAUCAAAUGUAAAAAAUUAUACAAAAUUAUUCAAUAAACAAAAAUUCAAUUCAACUAACCAAUAUAAAUAAUCAUAUACAUUAUUCAAUAAUUCAAUUAAUCAAUCAAUAAUCAAUAAUUCAAUUUUCACCCUAAACAAUAAUUUCAUUUGUCAAUACCCAGAGAAUUCAUAUCAAUUAUGAAUAAUCAAUAACCAUAUUAAUAUAUUAUCCUAUAUUCUAAAUAAAAAUAAUCAAUUAGGGUUUGAAAUAAAAUAUAUUUCAGAAAAUAAAAAAUAUACCUCAAAUUUGGGAAACGGAUGCUGGUGUGGUAUAUGGAGUCUGGCGUGGCAGCUGGAAUGGAAGGCCAACAAAAUAGGGUUGGAUGGCUUGCUGGGAGCCUGGGAUUGGGCACACUUUUGAAAAGUGAAGGGAUUUUAUCGUUUGGGGAAAAGAAGGUGUGGUGGGGGGGAUGAAUGGGAAACUGGAACCGGUUGGAUGGGAAUGCGAACUAGUGGUCCCCGCAAUAUUAUUUUUUCUAUUCAUAUAACAAGUAAAACGACACCGUUUAGUUUAAAAAUUAUGUUUUUUUUAUCAGGACCAAAACGACGUCGUUUUGGCCUGGAUUUAAAAUUUAAAAACAAAACCCCUGCGCACUGGCUGGGGAGCAGCGCAGCAGCAUGAACAAGAACAACACCAUGUUUUCUAGAUUCCGGCCGAACCAGAGGGGUUUAGGACUCGCUCCUGGGCUUGUUUUCCGACGAGCGGAGGGGCGGUCGCACCUCCUCGCUCCUAUGUAGCUUCGCCACUGCAUUCAUAGUCCUCUUUACAUAAGAAAAGAAGUUUAAAUAGAUUCAAGGAUAAUAGGGUUUGAGGUGUCGACAGGCCUAAUGGUAUUACCUAUGUAAUGGGCCUAGAAAAUCUGUUUGUUCUAAAAAAUGGAAUCAAGCUGGAUAAUACAUUUGUUGUCCCUUACAACCGUUAGGUAUUAUUGAAGUAUCAAGCAUAUAUAAACGUUAAAUCAUGCUGUCAAUCAACACUCAUUAAGUAUCUUUUUAAGUACAUAACUAAAGGUGUUGAUCGAACUAGAUGACGAGUUUGAUGAGGUUAUGGCUUAUCUAAAUAGUAGAUACUUAUGCCCAUACGAAGCAGUGUGGAGAUUGUUACAGUUUCACAUUCCUUUUAGAUAACCAUCGGUUGAGAGGUUGUCUGUAGACCUUCCAUCUGACCAACAUGUUCUUUUUAGAGAGACUGAUGAUCUAAACCAUGUUCUUAACCACCCUAAUCUUGAAAGCACUAUGUGAACACAGUGGUUUCAAACGAAUGUCUAAGACCGUGAUGCAUGUAUGUUAGCUUACGUUGAGUUUCCUACCAAGUAUGUUUGGAAAAAUGAUGAGAAACAAUGGACCCAUAGAAAAAGAGGUAGAUCUCUAGGAAGGGUUGCCUAUAUUCACCCUGCUGCGGGUGAAUUAUACUAUUUGAGGUUGCUGCUAAUUACCAAAAAGGCAGCUUUAGUUUUGCUAAUUUAAGGACCAUCAAAGGCAUUAUUGAACCCACAUUCCAAGCUGCAUACACCUCGCUUGGCUUAUUGGGGAUGAUAAGGAAUGGAAUAGCGCUAUGUUAGAAGUGGUUGUCACUGCGUCAUACUUUCAAUUGAGGCAAUUGUUUGUCACAUUGGUUCUCUUUUGUGAUGUUGCUGAUCCAUCAACUCUUUUUGAAACUCAUUGGAAGACGAUGUGCGAUGACAUUUCGAAAAACAUGAUCAAUGCUUUUGGCCUACAAGAUGUCUCUAAAUACCAAGAUCAACUUAGAAAUUCAUAGAAAAAUUGUUUGCUGCUUCGAAUAGUUCUUUGUCAAAGCAUCACCUACCACAACCAAACAAGUUGAUGAUAAAUAGAGUUACAAAUAGGAGUUUGAUGGAAGAGUUAGAUUAUGAUGUUGACUCACUAAAACAUGAGCACUCAAACCUAUUCAGGCAGUUAAAUAGAGAGCAAAAAUAUGUUUACGACAGUGUCAUACAAACAAUUCACAACAACAGAUCUAGCCUAUUUUUUGUACAUGGUCAUGGUGGAACAAACAAAACUUUUUUGUGAACCACCAUCAUGGCUAGAAUUAGAUCCCAAAAUCAAAUUGUUUUAACAGUGGCUUCAUCUGGAAUUGCCUCCCUCUUGCUUCCUGAUGGAAGAAUAGCUCACUCUAGAUUUAAAAUUCCUAUCAACAUCACAUAUUGCUCGGUUUGUGAGAUUAAAAAAGGGACUCGUCUUGUAAAACUAAUCACUGAAGCUGCUCUCAUUAUUUGGGAUGAAGUCCCUAUGAAUCAUAAACGAUGUUUUGAAACCCUAGAUAGGUCCAUUCGUGAUGUUCUUAAAGGGUCAAAACCAGGUUUUGACCAUUUGCCGUUUGGAGGUAAGUCGAUUCUUUUUGGAGGUGAAUUUAGGAAAAUUCUUCCUGUUAUUCCAAACGGAAGUGUUGCUAACAUUGUCGAAGCUUCAUUAACGAGUUCACACCUUUGGCCAUAUUAACAAAAAAAAAUUUAAAGCAAAACAUGAGGCUUUCAAAAAACUAGUUUGGACGAAAGAGAAAAACAAGAACUCGCUCAUUUUACAAAGUUGAUAUUAGACAUUGGAAACGGUACUGCUGCCAACUCUUUACCUUCAACUAAUGAAAAAAGCUCUUGGGUUCAAAUUCCAGAACAAUUCCUUAUCCGUUUUGAUGAAGAUCCCAUCAAAGCCAUGGUUUCAGCUGUGUAUACGAAUUUCAAAACUAAUUUCUAAGAUGUGCCACAUUUGAAAGAAAGAGUUGUUGUCACACCACGAAAUGAUACAACAACUGAAAUAAAUGCUUUUAUAUUGGGUAUGGUGCCUGGCGAAAAUCGUACCUAUCUCAGUUUUGAUUCGAUGUCUUCUUCAACGGAAAAUUUAGAAAAUUUAGAUGUGCUUUAUCCAAAUGAAUUUCUAAAUUAACUUGAUUUACCUGGUUUACUGCACCACAAGUUAGAUUUGAAAGUUGGCACCCUAGUGAUGUUGCUUAGAAAUUUAAACCAAAGCGGUGGAUUGUGUAAUGGAACAAGAUUGGUUGUGCAAUUGAACGGCAUAAUUAUACAAGCAACAAUCAUAACGGGAAGCAACAUCGGUGAAAAAGUUUAUAUCCCCAGGAUAAUUACUGAAUCAUCUCAGCAUAAAUAUCCUUUUACUCUGUGAAGGUGACAAUUCCCUCUAAAUUUUUUUUAUGCGAUGACAAUCAACAAAAGCCAAGGACAAUCCUUAAAAAUUGUUGGCCUAUAUAUGUCGCAAACUGUUUUUUCACAUGGACAACUAUAUGUUGCGCUAUCUAGAGUCACCUAAAAAAAAGGUCUCAAAAUCCUUAUUGCUCACGAUAGCGACAUGCCCUACGGUUAUACAAAAAAAAAAACAUAGUUUAUAAAGAUGUUUUAAAACAUUUACAAGAAGGUAUAACUUUGCGUUAUUAUUUUGUCCGUUUGUUUAUUUUUGUAAACAUGACUCCACCAUUUCUUUGUUAAAUCACCUUAUUCAGAUAGACAACAAAUGAAGGGGUGUGCUAUCGACACACCCCUUUUUACUUCUCACACACCCCUUAUUAAUUUCUAUCCGUUGAUUUUUUCAAUUCAUCCGUUCCGACGGCCGAAAACCAAAAAAGUGUGGAAGAAAUAAAAAGGGGUGUGUGGAUAUUAUAUUUUGUUCUUAAAAAAAAAAAUCACAGUGAACCAUGCACACUUUUCCUAUCUUUGUAUUUCACUACAGAUAUUAUAUUUUGUUAUGUUUGAGGAAGCUUUUAUAAUUGUAGAAACAAAACUAAGAAUGAACUAUCAAUUCUUCUUUUUCUUAAUUUUUCUUCAUUGUUUUUUAACCUAUACAAAUCAAACUAAAUGUGAUUUUGCAAGGUUGCUUCAACUGCUACCGAUUUGAUUCUUGGAGUAAUCUCCAUUGUUAUCUUGCAUAUGAUCUUAAAUGCUAUCUAAGUAGCCACAACUAUACUAUACUGCCUGUUUACAUGAUUCUUAAACUAUAUGCGUUAAAUGUUAUCCCACUCAUUUAGUAUUAUGUCUGAUUUUAAAUUUCUCCUUCUAAAAGGGAGAUGCGGUUCACGGAACCAUGAACGGUCGAGACAUCCAAUUUUUUUUGGACCAUCUAAGUGUCGAUAAUGUAUACGAAAUCAGUAAAUUUCGUGUCGUCCACAACAAGAGAUCAAGCAAGGUUGUCCCUCAUGUAGCCAUGAUUGAAUUGAAUAGGAAAACCACAAUCGUUCUUGUUCACAACACAAGUCAAGAGCUCCCAAGGAACUGGUUCAAUUUAAUUGAGCUUAAUCAACUUCAUAGGAGAAUCGACAACGAUGUUGAGCCUAUAGGUGACAAAUUUAGUUUCAAGUGCUGCUCGAACAUCUAAGAUGAUCAUUUAUAUUUUUUUGUUGGCUUUGGUGUGCACUCAUUCCUGCCAUCAAAUAUUAUAUGUACAUGUGUUUGGUUGCUUGACGGCUGUACAUCUAACUGAAAAGAUCACUAUCCAGAACACAAGAGUUGCAAAGAAGAGAAAUCUUAACCGGAAAAAUAUUAGGUAAUUUCUAUUUACGUUAAACUCUAAAUAUUAUUUAUAUGGCACCCUAUUUAUGACAUAUACCAAACCGUCAUCUUUUGUAUUACUUACAGAGACGAAACAGUGAGAAUAACCUUAUGGGUAGAGACUGCAACAGGUUUGAGAACAGUGGAAUACAAACGACUUUGCCACCUGUAUUUGUUGCUUUCACAAGCCCGAAAGUAAAACAAUACCAAGGUUAUACCCUGCCAUACUUUAUCUAACUACUUAAAGUUUCAGUUUGUUGAUUGUUAUCUCAUAUUUAUAGAAAACAUGUUCUCUGAAGCACAUGAUCAACCGUUUGUGUUUUCAAUCCAGAGAUUCCACAACUCUCUGAAUACAAACACAAAUAAAUCGACAACCCUUCUUUAAUAACUUUUGCGUUUAUAUUUCUUCGAUUAAUCUUUCUCACCCUAAACAUGCACAAAACAGGUUUAACCAUCUGAGAUCACCUCUUCAAAUCAUGCCCACCUCAGCUGAGAUGUAUACAGGGCGUGCAGUCAGUGCUACUUCUGAGUAAAAAACAAUUGAGAGUUGCUUUUACUUGAUCCUGCCUUGCACAUGGUUAGUUUUUCAUCACCAACCUGUUCACCGAAAUCACCUCUUUUUAAUUAUAGAAUUUUCGUGCUGCAUCUAACUUGACCAUCUCUUGAUUUGUUUCUCUAUUUGUUUAUACUCCAUGUUUGCAAAGUGAAUUUGAAAACCCUGUGUUUCUGUUUGGGCCCAAAAUGACAAUUUGGGCCAAGUUUAGAGCUAAUUUCGACCCAACGGUCUUCCAGGGGUAUCAUAGGUCGGCUAGGUCACCAUGAGCUGUCUAGUCAGAUUCGGCUGAGUCCUAGUACAAGAAGGAUUGAUCUGGAAAAAGAUGAGGUAGUUGAAUCAUGGCACGACAGGGAGUCUUGAAGGUGCUGAGAAGUAGGAAAGAAUUUAGUUCGUUAUAGAGCUUGGUUCAAAGACCUGUUGGAACUAGGAUUGGCCGAAAUCUAAUCAGAUUGGAUUGAUGGAUCUUACUCCGAGUACAUCUCUAGUUCGGCUAAAGGCAGGCUUGUUGCUAUAAAUACAAGCCACCGUGCUACGUUUCAACCUCUCUCCAUUUCAACACAUAAACUGCCCUGCGCAAACUCUCGCUCUACGCGAAACCUCUCAACAACCUUGAUAUUUUUAUUCUCUUCUUUCGCCAUCGCAUCUUCAGUUUGGAUAAACAACACUGCUUCGGGACCGACUGGUUUUUUAUCCAAGUGUCGGUCGACAAGGAUUUUCAAGUCCUUGUUCGUAGAGGUCAUCUAAUCAGCCUUCUCGGCGAAGUGAGGUGUUACAAGUUACUAGGCUCGACACAUUGAACGCCGAGUUGUUUAUGAUCAGAUACUCACAAGUUAGUUUUAGAGUUUGGCAUUCCGACGACCGAGCCAUAUUCACCAUUAAGACAUAUAUCUCUUUUGAGUAUUUGUGUCCAUAUAGAUUAGUACCAGUUCGGCGUGCUUAUACUCUCACGAAUAUAAUCACCAUGACCGAACUCGGUGCUAACGAUUCGUGAGCUUCAUAAGAUUAGCAGCCUUGUCUUUAGGCUCUAGAAUCCAAAGGCCAAGACGUGUUCCUUCCUCGGCCGCAAUCGCAAGACAGAAGUCAGCAGUGCACCCAACAUGACAUCAACACAUUUAUUCCCCGGCCGAGCUCGGCCGGCGAGUUGGCACGCCCACACACAACCGACGGACGUAGUUAGCUUAUUAGUUACUGUUUGGACCCGUUUUUACACUAUCGGCCCGAGUAAUCGAGGUCGUUGAAUGAACAAAAUUUUAGACCGUUGAACGACAAAGUGGUUGAGAUGAUUUUCAAUUAUUAUUGAGGAAUAAUAUUGUGAUUUUAAUCAUGGUAUUAUCUCUUAGUAAUAUAUUAAAUUAUUUAAACCUAAUAUUUGUCUAAAUCCCAAUUGAUUUGGAUGAUGAUGGAAUAUGGGGAUAUGCAUUAAGGUAUGGCAUCAGAUAACAACAUGCAAAGAUAUUGGGGAUACGUUUUGCAUAUGUGGUAUUGCUUUGGCUACAUGACACAUGCAAAAUUAAGACUCCUAUGCAAAGUGGUAUUUGAUGGAAGAUGGCAUCUCAAGUGAUUAGCUAAUAUUGCAAUUAAAUUGCAUGCAUGGUUGCACCUGGACAUGUGUCGUGGGAAAGAAAACAUUAUAAUUUCUAUUGGGAGUCUUGGCUAUGACUGACAGCUUAAUGGGAUAAAGUAAGGCUACUGAUGAAGUCAUCGAGAUAAGAAGCCUAGGUGGGCUAGACUUCUAAUGUGAUGUGAUAAGACUAGAUAGGUUUUUAUCCUAUUUGAAAAGUCACGAACAAUAAUCUGAAGGAUGUGCCUUGGCUCUUGAUGCGGAUCACGUUCAGUUCCACAAAUUAAAGUUGCAGUUGGACUCUACGAAAUUAUCUGGCCGCGCCACACAACAUUUGCUCCUAUAAAUACAGAGGCAGUGGCAACGGAAAAAUGGGCUCAUACUCAACACACAAACUGCCUUGUGCAAACUGACAUGUCCUGAUCAUGAUAUUCUCUAAAUACCCGGAUAGGCACGUACUGGCAGACACCUGAGGGUGACGAAAGCCAUUAAUUACAAGAGUAAUGAUUAGGAGAAAAUAUUCAUGAAUAAACUUUAGAAUCUAGAAGUAAUAAGCGAAGUUUAAGGAACUGUCUAGAGUGCACAUAACACAAUCUAAUUCAAGAUUUACAAAAAAGAAAGAUCAUUACAAGAUAUCACACAAGUGAGUGGUAGAUUGCUAUUGGUAAGGGAAUGCCUCGUACGUCGUGUCGUAGUCCUCGUUUCUAAGACCUGAAUGGGGGCGCAAAACAAAAGUGAGUGGACCAAGUUCAUAAAUAUAAUAAUAAUAAUAAAACAGUUAUCAAUGUAGUAACCCCCACAAUUUAUAUAUAAUGAAAACUACUAGCAUAAUAAGUGAUGGAUUUAAUAAAAAUCCUCGCAUGCCAAAAAUAUCUCAAAAGUCAUAUUGCGGAAUAACAUCGCCGAAAUCAAAACAGUAAACAUCUCAUAGAUCGUCUCGUAAGCGCGGUGUGCUGCUAGAAAGAUUACUGAAUAAAUAUAACUCCCGGCCCUAUGCUAGCACCGUGGUCACUGAAUAAAUAUAACUCCCGCCCCAAUGCCUGCUCCGUGUCCCUCAGCCCGUAGCUAAGGAUUAUUUCUCCCGGCCUAUCUGCCAACACCAGAUCCUCGCCCCAGGUGGCAUAGUGUCCACUAGAUACGCACAAAUAGUUACGCCUCUCAUAAAUAACCACUUCAUAGUAUAAAGUCAUCCAUCGUCUAUACUAUAAAGAGGGGUUUCUAAAACAUGUUCUAGCAUCCUAUCGUCAUCCUCAGAUAGUCUACCAGUUCAUGGUUUUUAUAGAAAAUAACAUAUUUUAAAAUAUAGCUCAAUAUAGGCCAACAAUUAAUUCCUCACCAAAACGAGACGAUAAACAACAUAUUUCAUAAACUUGCUUAACAUAAAACUCCGUUCAUAAAUUCGUAAGGCAUGCAUUUAAUUUAUGCAAUUGAACUAUGAAAUUAUGCAAAUUUGAGAAAGGGUCCACUUACAGAUACUCCUUAGCAGUAGAGUUGUGCGGAUAAGGAUUAAGAAUUUCUUCACUAGCAACUUCACCUAAGCACAAAAAUGUAAUAAAUAAAUAAAAAGAUUUUCUAAAGGAUUUGGGCUUGAACUAAAUAAAAUAAGGUAUUUGGGUUGAAAGGGUUAAGGUCUAAUGGGUUUUCGAAUCCUAAGGUUUUUGGGUUAAAGGGUUUUAGGGUGAAGAAGAGUGGUUUGGGUUUAAACCCAAACCCACACUCACACACACGCCAGCCCAUAUACACACACCUGCACAGCACAUACAUACACACCCACACAUGCACAACACAUGCACACACACCACACAUGCACGGACACACACACACAACACACACACGCACUACAUAUCACACACACCACACAACCCACACACGCACACACAGCCCAAAACACACACACGGGGCCUAGACAGGGCACGACCCACAUUACACACAUGCACAACAGUCCACACACAAGCAGACCGGGCUUGAAGCCCUUUCCUUUAAAACCGGCCCAAGGCCCUUAGGGUAUUUGGGUUUUAAAAACAUAAAACAAAAAAUAAAAAUGAUACGGGCCAGGGUAUUGGGUUGGUCCAAAACGGGCUAAGGCCCGUGGUGUUCUAAAUGGCCUGGAAGGCCUGAUGUUGCUGGAGGAGAACGUCGGAGCUGCUACAGCUCCGGCCGACGGCAAACAGGGGUUUUAGACCCUGAUCUAACUACCAAAAUGAAGAGCAAGAUGAGGGGAAGAUAUUGCUACCCUCGAAUAGUUGUGACACGGUCGGAGGUGACCGGAAAUUCCCUCGAAACUCACGGGUUCGCCGGAAAAAUGGGUGAGCUUCCCCCGCGCCGUUCCUGUCUUCAAAACCUUGGAAAAACAAUGUAAAUCUUAUCACACAAUGUCCAACAACAUCAAUGGUGAUUUAAAAAGGGAUCCAACCUUACCUAAUCGGAGAAAUAGAAAAAUCUCGCCGGAGAGUUCUUCUGGGUUCCUCUGUGUCCCGCAGCAACGAAAGAGAGGGAGAGACGAUAGGGUAAUGAUGGUGAAUGAGUUGUAGGUAUGGGGUUGGUAAUGGGUGUAGGCUCACGGGAGGAUGAGAGGGAGAGAGAUGAGAGUGAGUGCAGAAAGAAAGAGAGAUGAAUGAGAGAGGUCUCGGGGUUGGGGGGACAAAAAGAGAGAAAAGAGAGGUGAGUUAGGAUGCUGCCACGUGGCAGUUUGGGGUGAAACCACAUAUAAUAUGAAUAAUUGGGGGGUGGUUGUAACACAAACCCUCGCUCUACGCGAAACUUCUCAAACAUCUUGAGGUUUUUAUUUUCUUUUUCGCCAACACAUCUUCAGUUUGGAUAAACAGCACUGUUGCCGUAGAAUCAGCCAACCGCGGAGCACCUUCAGUUUGGAUAAACAGCAAUACGUCGAGGCCGACUGGUUAUCUAUCCAAGUCUCGGUCGAGAAAGAUUUUCGAAUCCUUAUUGGAAGAGGUCAUCUCAUUAGCCUUAUCGGCGAAGUGAGGUGUUACAAGUUACUACAUUCGGCACGUUGAAAGCCGAAUUUGAUAUUGAACUUCGUAGAACUAGCAGCCUUCUUCAGGCUCUAGAACCCGAAGGCCGAGACGUGUUCUUUCCUUAGCCGCAGUCGCAAGAUCAAGAAGUCAGCCACCCGCUUAACGCAACAUCAACAAAUUUUACUCCUCGGCCGAGCUUGGCUGACGAGUUGGCACGCCCGCAUACAACCGAAUGACGUAGUUAGCUCAUUAGUUACUCGGCCUGCGCACAACGUAGGCUUGGUAGUUUUUAGGGUCAACAUUUUGGCACGCCCAGUGGGACCCAGUGCUAAAACUACGAAGUUCACAUGAUAUAUCUCAAUCAGGCUUCAUGGGAUGAGUUUCAUCGCCUAUUAAAUGAGCAAAAACAACGUUUCGAGAUAUGGGGUAGAAUUUCUGAAAGGCAAGAGGCCGGGGGGCAAAUUUAUGCUCCGGCCACAAUCAAAAUUCGACCUCAGAACAUUGUCGAAACGGCCAAAGAAGAACCUAGGCCAUCUGCUUUUUCGGUCGAGACUGAAAGUGUGGUAGGCCUAGAAGAAAAAUUUCAAGUUUUUGAGCCAGAAAUCAACUUAGAAAAUGAUUCGUCAGAGGAGUGUUCCAAUGACGAACAAGAUAGAUACACGGCUUCAAACCAUAAAAUCACAUCGAUUGAUAUGGUAAUUGAAGACAUAGACCUAGCCGCCAAAACCACGCCAAUCGAUAUUAUUAUUGGUGAUAAAGCCGAUAUGGAGAAAUUCCGUUCGGCCACGUUGUUCGAGUUAAAAGCCGAAAUUGGCGAAAUUAUUAUGUCUGGGGGGCAUAAUAAUUGUUCAACACAUUCGGCGGCCGAUAAAAAAUCUCUUCAAGCCGAACAUAUUUGGAGAUGAUCUUUUAUUCGGCUUUGGAAAAUCUCAAAGUGAAAAUUUUGAUGUAAAAAGAUCUCGGCUCGGAAUAAAACAUCGUUGGCCUCCUCCACUUUAUAGUUCGGCAACUUUUGUUUUUUGUCUUUUUUUGCUAAAAAAAACAACAAAAAAAGAUGAAUAAAUUAUUUUCUUAACCAUUCGGCCUUUCAGGCCGAUGCAUAAGAAAAUAAAGGGGGCAACAAUCCAAUGGAUUAUGGGGCUGUUGGCAAGGCUGUUCUUGUUUUUGGUUUAGGAGUUUUGAUAUGGGUACUGCCGGCAGACAACCCGCUUCAAACAGUGGCGCGUAACGCUUUAUCGAAUAUAGCAUUAGAUGGUAGUGCGAUGGGAGAUGUUAUUGGAGUUGUCCUAUCCGUGGUCACUGACGAAGCUUUGUUAGGGCCCGUAAUAGCCGGCAUUGGCAUAUGUUUUCUUAUUGGAGAAAUCACCAUCUGGUUGACUAAUGAAAUUUUUGGGUCUGGAGGCAGUGGGCCGUUAAGCACAACGGGGCAUCAAUGUUACGUCGCUCAGUUGCCCGACGGCAAAGUUCUGGCACGAGAAAUCGCGCAUCGGCAAUCUUAAGAGGGUGAGGAUCUUCAGAUGUUUACCGGUUUUGAGCACUACUGCGCCCAAGUCUACAUAUUCUCCCUACUGAAUAACUUGAGGCCUAUUUUAUGUUAUAUACUUCUUUAAACUAGUACAGUCUGUGUGAGAGGUGUGGGAAAUGUUAUCCAAAUAAGAAACCAAAUCCAUAAAUAAAGGUAAUGCGAUGCGAUGAUUACCGAAACUUUAUUUAAAUUGAACAUGAAGCCGAUGCGGAUGGCGCAAAACCAUGGUGCGGGUUCGAUUUUCAAUGAUUCUACUCGCUUAACGACCAACCAUUUAACUUGCUAACGCUACUACUACAAAAAUUAAACAUGAAGCCGCAGAUUUAUUACAACAUCAAGUAACAUCAAGCCAAAUGCAUUUGAAAUUAACAUCAAGCAAUCCAGACCGCACCACAUUUAAAUAAUAAAACUCAAAUUACUAUAAUUAUUGUAAAUAUGAGUAUUCAAUAGGAGAGAUUUUUUCAAGUGCUGGGUAUUCAAGCAGAACUCGACCUGUAAUGAUACAAGUGUAGAAAAUGAUAUAUUUUUUUGUGUCUCAAUGUAGAGUACCCACUUGAAUAUUAGGCGCUUGAAAAAAUUUCUCCGCCAAUAGGAUGGAUUGAACCUUCUACGGUAUGUUAAGAUGGACAAACCAAUGUAAGCAUUGUAAAAAGAUGAUAUACAAAUAACUCGAUUAUUUCUUUCUUUCUAUUUCACAUUCAUUAAGUCAAUCUGAUUAAACAUGUAAAUUCUUGCUUCAUCAAAACCACCCCCAGUACAAAGCUUUCAAACCCUAGAAUAAAAACAAUUAAAGGGAAACGAAACCUGGAAAAGCUAUACACCGUGUUAAAAGGAAUAAACACCGCCACCCCCAUCUUAAUCUGUUACGGACACAACUUCUUCCCUCCUAACAUCAUCGCCAACAUCGAUAACAACAUUAAUAAAUAAUAAUAGAGGGAAAGAAUAUACUCCCGAAAGGGCAAUACCUACAAGGGUAAGUCUGCAGUUUACUGCUAAACUGGGAUGACAUCAUUCUUUGAUGCAUCAUCACAUCUCAACACAAUACCCUCGACGCUGGCUGGAAAGAUACAUUUGGCCCACUGGCAUCCUGUCGUGAUCGGCUCAGGUGGAGGAACAAUCAUCAGCACAUUUUCAUUUCUUUGGACGACUCCCAUUACACUAACUGUGCUUCCUUCUUUUAUGUACCUGCAAAUACGACAUUGCAGUUUAGCGCUACAAUCACUUUAAUUUGCAUCUACCAAAAUCAAACUACUUGUAUGGAAAAGUAAACAAAUCUCAUUCACAUUACUUAUACAGUAUCGGUAGUUGUCAGAGCACACAGUUAAGUUCCUAUUCUAACUCCAAUUUAUUUGUCCUUAACAAUAUAUAUUUUUUACUCCUUUUUUCUUGUCUUUCUUUCCUUCUUCCUGGGCUUCUUCAAUCUCAUCAAAUCCAUCUCUGCCGCACCUGCAUCUUGUUGUGCGGAAGCGGCGUUCGACUGUAAGUGAAUAGUAAGACAGAACAGAAACAAAACCAACACCAACAAGAACACCAAGAUUUAUACUGGUUCGGCAAUACCUACAUCCAGUUUGGAGACGACGGAGUAUUCCACUAUAAUCAAUGAGAACAUACAAUAGUGUUUAUCACUCAAUUUCCCAAAGACCCAAAUAACCCCAAGCUCUCACACUUACAAUAGGAAGAGAAAACCAAAAAUACAAAGCAAGACAAUUUGAGAAAAUUCUUCUCUAUGCCAAAUGGCUUCUUGCUAUUUUUCUCUCUUCCUUGUUCUUCUCUACUUCUCCAUGCUUAUGAGCUACACCUUGCUCUCCUUUUAUAGCCAAAGAAAAGCUUCUCAAAAACAUCAAUGGCCAAAGGCCUAACAUCAAGUCAAAAAGAAUUAGGCAUAAGUGCAUCCAAUUUUGGUUUCCCACAUGUAGCAUGCCAUCCAACAAUUUUGACCACAAAAGUAGCCCAAAGAUUUGGGCUUUGACUACAUGUUUGAGUCAAUAAUCAACAAUCUCCACCUUGACUCAAACCCUCUAAGUAGAACUCCAAAUAGUCGUCUCCCAAUCCCCCAUGGGGCAAUCAACAAAUUUUACAAAUGCCAAUCAAGUCUAAGCAGUGCUUAAACUUGUGCAACGAAACUGGCUUUGUUAACAUAUCAGCAGGAUUGUCAGCGGUCCCAAUCUUCUGAAGAAGAAUAUCUCCCUCGUCAAUAAUCUUACGAACAAAAUGGAACCUCACAUCAAUGUGUUUCGUACGUGCAUGAUGAACUUGAUUCUUUGCUAAAUGAAUAGCACUCUGACUGUCGCAAUGAACAUCCACAUGGUCUUGUUGAACCCCUAAGUCAUCAAGCAACCCUUGAAGCCAGAUGGCUUCCUUUAUAGCUUCUGUUACAACCAUGUAUUCUGCCUCAGUAGUCGACAAAGCAACUGUAGAUUGCAGAAUCGACCUCCAACUUACUGGACCUCCAGCAAUAGAGAAUACAAAACCAGUAGUGGACCUACGCUUGUCCAAAUCACCUGUGUAAUCAGAAUCCACAUAUCCAACAACACAUUUACCAGUAACUUUAUCCUGCUGGAACAAUAAACCAACAUCCACAGUACCCAGAAUAUACCGUAGAAUCCAUUUCACAGCUUGUGAAAAUCAGGCCUAGUACACACCAUAGCAUACAUCAAACUACCAACAACAUUUGCAUAAGGAAUUUGAGCCAUGUACUGACUCUCUUCAACAGUUUUAGGAGACAUAGAAGCGCUAAGUUUGAAAUGAGAGGCAAGAGGUGUACCAACCGGUUUUGAAUUUUCAUUCAUCCUGAAACGUUGUAGUACCUUCUUCAAAUACUGCUUCUGACACAGACUAAUCUUGCCCUUCGCUCUAUCUCUUUCAAUUUCCAUACCUAGUAUCUUCCGAGCUUCUCCCAAGUCCUUCUUCUCAAAUUCAUUACUUAGUUGAGUCUUCAACCUUGUGUAAUCUCCACUUUGCUCUUACAUGCUAUAAGCAUAUCAUCAACAUAUAAAAGCAGAUAAAUGAAGGUUCCAUCUUGUAGUUUGCGAAAGUAUACACAAUGGUCAUAGUGACUUCUUGUGUACUUCUGCCCGAUCAUAAAUCUAUCAAAUCGCUUGUACCAUUGUCUUGGAGACUGCUUCAAGCCAUACAAUGAUUUUUUCCAAUUUGCAAACCCAAUUUUCCUUUCCAGCAACCUUAAAACCCUUCUGGUUGAGACAUAUAAAUCUCCUCCUCCAAAUCACCAUGUAAGAAUGCAGUCUUGACAUUCAAGUUGGGCCAACUCAAGGUCAAAACUGCACAACCAAAGCCAACAAAAUACGAAUAGAAGAAUGUUUUACUACAGGAGAAAAUACCUCAUUGUAGUCAAUGCCUUCCUUCUGAGCGUAGCCUUUAGCUACCAAUCUGGCUUUGAAUCUUACAUUGUCUUUUUUCCCAAAGAUUCCAUCUUUUUGGCAUACACCCAUUUUACAACCAAUUGCUUUCUUCCCCUUUGGUAACUGAACCAGCUUCCAAGUUUCAUUUUUAUGAAGAGAUUUCAUCUCCUCAUCCAUAGAUUUCUUCCACAACUCGCAGUCUGAACUCAUGACAGCUUCUUUGUAGGCAGAUGGAAUAUCAUCUUCAAUAACAGGAAGUGCAUAUGCCACAAUAUCAGUAAAUCGAGCAGGCUUUCGAAUUUCCCUUCUCGAUCUUCUGGUUGCAAUAUAGUCUUGUUGCUGUGGAGGCUCUUGGGUAGGUGCCUCCUCUUCAUCAUCCUCGUCCUCAUCAUCAGAAUUAACUGUAGGACUAGUGUUUGAAACAUCAGACCUUACUGGAACAACUGGAGUCUUCAGUAACUCCACCUGCUUUGAGCUACUCAUGGUCUCGAUCGCUUCAGUUUCACCUUCAUGAUUGUUCUGAUUAACCAUAGCAGCCUCAUCAAAAGUCACAUCUCUGCUUACAACAAAUUUCUUCUCAUCUGGACACCAGAGUCGGUAUCCCUUCACGCCAGUACUAAAGCCCAUAAAUAGAGCUUUCUUUGCUCUUGGAUCCAACUUGCUUUCUCUGACAUAAUAGUAAGCAGAACAACCAAAUAUGUGUAAAAACUUGUAAUCAGUACAAGGUUUACCAGACCAUACCUCCAUGGGCGUUUUGCCCUCAUUCGCAGCAGCUGGCAAUCGAUUAAUGAGGUGGCUUGCAUAAGUAAUUGCCUCAGCCCAAAAUGCCUUGCCUAAUCCAGCAUUAGACAACAUACACCGAACUUUCUCAAGCAAAGUACGGUUCAUGCGCUCCGCCACCCCAUUCUGUUGCGGUGUCUCCCUAACCGUGAAGUGCCUCACAAUACCCUCAUCUUGACAAAUUUUCAAGAAAGGAUCAGACUUAUAUUCACCCCCAUUGUCUGAUCUGAGAGUCUUGAUCUUUCGACCGCUUUGCGUUUCAAUCAUCUUUUUCCACUUCAGGAAUAUCUUCAAGACUUCAUCUUUACGCUUCAUGGUGUACACCCAUAUUCUUCUAGAGAAGUCAUCAACAAAGGAGACAAAAUAAUGGCUACCUCCCCAAGAUGCAUUCUUGGAAGGUCCCCAAACAUCAGUGUGAACAUAAUCAAGAAUGCCUUUAGUGUGGUGAAUAGCAGUGCCAAAUUUUACUCUAGUUUGCUUACCCAACACACAAUGCUCACAGAAUUCCAAUUUGCAUGCCUUUGCACCUUUCAAUAAGCCUUGUUUCACUAAUCCUUGCAACGCUUUUUCACCAGCAUGCCCAAGACGCAUAUGCCAUAACCUCGUGGUGUCUGUGCUAUCUGCGUCAGCAGCUUCGGUGACAGCUGCUCCACCAAUAACUGUACUCCCCUGCAAGAAAUACAAGUUAUUUCGUCUUGUACCUUUCAUCACCACCAGUGCCCCGUACACAGCUUUAAGAACUCCACCCUCCAUGGUGAUCUUGAGACCCUUGGAUUCCAAUGCACCCAGUGAGAUAAGAUUUUUCUUCAUAUCCGGUACAUACCGAACAUCACUUAAUUCUCUGACUGUUCCAUCAUGCAUCUUCAAACAGAUUUUGCCUAUCCCUUGUGUUUUGCAGGCAUUAUUAUUACCCAUCAAAACAACUCCACCAUCCAGCUCCUCGAAUUUAGAAAACCACUCCCGAAUGGGACACAUAUGAUAGGUGCAACCUGAAUCCAAAAUCCACUCAUUUGAGUGACCAUCAGCAUAUGAACUAGCCAAAGCAAACUCGAAAUCAUCAUCAUCUCCAGAUUUUGCAAUAUUUGCUUCAGAACCCGCUUUCUCCUUCUCUUUGUUCUUCAAUUUGGGGCAGUCUUUCUUCCAAUGACCCUUUUGGCGACAAAAAGCACAUUCAUCUUUAGCAGGAAACUUCCCUCGUGACUUUGAACGAGAUUUUCCCCGCUUCCCAGAUUUUCUUUCCUCUAUUCGACCCCUUGCAACAAAUGCCUCGGUUUGUGAAUUGUGAGUCUUCAUUUCCUUCUUACGACACUCAUGAUUCACCAAUGCCGCAGACACCUCAUCAAGUUUCACCUCGGAUUUUCCAUACAACAGAGUAGUUGUCAAAUGAUCAUAAUCAUCAGGCAAUGAAUUUAACAAACAUAGUGCCUUGUCCUCGUCAGGAAUUUUCACAUCAAGGUUUGCUAAAUCAGCAAGUAUUUUAUUAUAAUCAUUGAGGUGUUCGUGCAUAGAGAUACCUGGACGAUACUGAAAUUGGAAGAGUCGCUUCUUCAAGAAGAGACGAUUUUCUGCGCUCUUGGUCAUAUACUUCUCCUCCAAUUUCGUCCAUAACUCCUUAGCAGAAGUUUCCUUCAUAUACGGGUAUUUCAACUCCUUAUCAAGGAACGAUCGAAUAGCAGCACAAGCAUGAAGAUUAAUUCGCAUCCACUGCUUGUCAUCAAUAUCUUCUGGUUUAUCUUCCAGAACCAUAUCCAACUCUUGUUGAUACAACACAUCCAUAACUUCACAUUGCCACAUACCAAAAUUAUUAGAGCCAUUGAAUUUAUCAACCUCUAACCUUGUAGUAGUGGUUGGAUGUCUAUUGGAUGUAGACGAAGACGAUGCUGACUCCUUCCUUACAGAUUCGUCUUUAUCUCCAGCCAUCUACUCGGCACUGUUCACAAAUACGGCACUGUUCACAGGUACAAUACUGUUCACAGAUACUGUAGCAGUUCACUGUUCACGGAACUGUAACGCCAACACUAUUCACGGAACUGGGCUCUGAUACCAAUUGUUGUGCGGAAGCGGCGUUCGACUGUAAGUGAAUAGUAAGACAGAACAGAAACAAAACCAACACCAACAAGAACACCAAGAUUUAUACUGGUUCGGCAAUACCUACAUCCAGUUUGGAGACGACGGAGUAUUCCACUAUAAUCAAUGAGAACAUACAAUAGUGUUUAUCACUCAAUUUCCCAAAGACCCAAAUAACCCCAAGCUCUCACACUUACAAUAGGAAGAGAAAACCAAAAAUACAAAGCAAGACAAUUUGAGAAAAUUCUUCUCUAUGCCAAAUGGCUUCUUGCUAUUUUUCUCUCUUCCUUGUUCUUCUCUACUUCUCCAUGCUUAUGAGCUACACCUUGCUCUCCUUUUAUAGCCAAAGAAAAGCUUCCCAAAAACAUCAAUGGCCAAAGGCCUAACAUCAAGUCAAAAAGAAUUAGGCAUAAGUGCAUCCAAUUUUGGUUUCCCACAUGUAGCAUGCCAUCCAACAAUUUUGACCACAAAAGUAGCCCAAAGAUUUGGGCUUUGACUACAUGUUUGAGUCAAUAAUCAACACAUCUCUCUUGCAACUGAUAAAGUUUGUUUGUUUUGGUGUUUUGAUUGAUUGUUUGGAUUGGUUUCUUAGGGUUAGAAUGGCAGAGAAUGGAGAGAACUUGGAGAUGAGAUUGACGGCUUCAAAGGCUGUGUAAUUAAGAUACAGAGGCAAUAAUUUCAUUAAGUAGGUGAAUGUUUGUAGCGUAUGGUGCAUUGCCAUGACCCAUACUUCUUCAAGAGAGUGAUUGACAAGAGACUUAAACAACCAUUUCAUCAUUCUUACUCCAGAUUAAAUCCUAGCCCUUCAUUUGGGUUUUAAGUUAUCUAAUAUGGAGUGUACACUUGUCACUCACACACUCACACAUACAUUUAAAUAAAAAAACUAGCCGUUGGAGGCUCUUUCUUCUUCUUUCUUCUUCGAUGUAGACAUCAGCCAUGCUCAGGAGCUCUUUGCUGCCUUCGAUUCUUCGAUUCCAAAAGCUGUUUAGCUUCCAAAACUCCCCUCUAAAUUGCUUUUAGGAGUCAUUCCGAGCAAUCCCCUCAGGUAAUUGAAUCUCUCAUUCGGUAAUGCUUUUGUGAAAAUGUCAACGAUCUGAUCUUUUGUGCUGCAAUAGAUUAGCUUGAUUGUGUUGUUCUGCAAUGCCUCUCAGAUGAAAUAAUAUCUUCUUUUGAUAUGCUUUAUUCUCUGAUGAAAUACUAGGUUUUUUAUCAUGGCAAUUGCAGAGGUGUUGUCACACAAGAGUAGUGUGGCAUCAACCUGCAAUUCGCCAAAAUCUUUGAGUAUAAACCUUAGCCAUAGCUUGAGCCAUUGAUUCUAAUGCACUCACGUACUCUACCCCAGCUGUGGACAGUGCAACACUUUGUUGCUUCACUGAGGCCCAUGAAAACACUCAUGAACCAAAGGUGAAAGCGUAGCCCGAUGUGAUUUUGCUAUCAUCUUCACUGCCACCCUAGUCACUGUCACAAAAUCCAAUUAGGAUAGUUGACUUCCCCAUCUCAUACUUGAUCCCAUAAUCAAGUGUUCCUUGCACAUAUCUUAGCACUCUCUUAGCUGUCCCCAUAUGUAUCUUGCUAGGAUUAUGCAUAAACCUAGAAAGUAGGCUUGCUGAGAACAUUAGAUCCGGCCUUGUUGCAGUUAGGUACAAUAGACUGCCAACAAUGGUUUUGUAGAGACUAGCAUCCGCAGGUUCACUUCCAUCAUCCUUCUUAAGCUUUUCAUUUGCGAUUAGGAGUGUAGAGACCGGUUUGCAUCCCUUUAACCCAAACUUUUCAAGCAAUGUUUCAGCAUACUUCUUUUGAUGAAUGAAGAUGCUACUUGCUUCUUGAAUUACCCCAAUGCCAAGAAAAUGAUGCAAGAGGCCUAGGUCAAUCAUUUCAUACCUCUUCAUUAUUUCUUCUUUGAACUUUUCAAUCAUUGCAACAUCAUUUCCAAUGUAGACCACAUCAUCCACAUAGAUUGAAACAAUGAGGGUCUUGUUGUUACUUUCUAUUUUGGUGUAGAGUGUAGCUUCACUAUGACUUUUCUGAAAUCCUUUCUUAGUGAAAUAAGAAUCAAUAUCACUGUACCAAGCCCUUGGAGCUUGUUUUAGGCCAUAGAGUGCCUUCCUUAGCUUGUACACAUUCUCUAGGAAAUGCUUCACUUGUGAACCCUUGAGGUUGUUCCACAAACACCUUAUCCUCUAGCACUCCAUUUAGAAAUGCCGAUUUGACAUCCAAUUGAUGCAACUUCCAACCUUUCUUGGUUGCUAGGGCUAUCAAGGUCCUUAUGGUGUCUAACCUUACUGCUGGUGCAAAGGUUUCAUUGAAGUCUACACCAGGCUUCUGUGAGUAGCCUUUAGCUACCAAUCUUGCCUUGUUCUUCUACACAAAACCAUCUAGGUUGAGCUUGGUUUUGUACACCCAUUUCACUCUAAUCAUAGGUUUUUCACUUGGUCAAUUUACAAGUUCCGAAGUGUCAUUCUUCUGUAUCAUUUCAAGCUCUACCUUCAUUGCUUUCUUCCAAGCUUUGACUUUCUCAGCUUCUUCAUAUGUUUCUGGUUCCACUACACAGUAAUUACAUGUAGCAUAUAUCUCAUCUAAGCUUGUCAACCUCACUGGAAUUGAACUUGGAGUUGUUAUCUGUGAGUGACUCGGUUGUAGACUCAUGCUUGCUUACUGUGGAGUCCCUUGUGUGUCACCAUUCUCUGUGGUUUCUUCUUGAAUUAAGCUCUCUACAGGCUGGCUUGUUUACCCAUUGUUGAGGUCAAGUUGUAGAGAGACACUGUCUUUCUUUUCUACACUUGUUUCCCAAUUCCAUGUUGAGUCUUCAUCAAAGAUAACAUCCCUUGAUAGGAUUAUCUUCUGAGUUGACAGAUUAUAAACUCUGUACCCAUUUUCACUAGUUUCAUAACCCACAAACACACCCUUGUUGCUUGAUUUCUCCAAAAUUUUCCUUAGUUGUUGAGGAAUGUGAGUAUAACACACUAAGCCAAACACUCUCAGAUGCUUCACAGAAGGCUUCCUUCCACUGAACACUUCCAAAUGGUGUCUUCUUAUCCAGUGCUUUAGUAGGGCACCUAUUCAAUAUGUACACUGAGGUGUUCACAGCUUCACCCCAAAAUGUAUAGGGCAUGUUCUUCUCAUGCAUCAUAGACUUAGCCAUUUCAACUAUAGUCAUAUUCUUCCUUUUUGCAAUGCCAUUCUGUUGUGUUGAAUAUGCCAAUGUGAGUUGCUUCUCCAAUCCCACAUCUUCAUAGAAUGCCUUGAACUCAAGAGAGGUGUACUCUCCUCCCCUAUCACUUCUUGGUCUUUUGAUUUGGUAUCCACUUUGCAAUUCCACCAUUGCCUUGAACUUCUUGAAUAUUGUGAAUACCUCAGACUUGAACCUCAUGAAAUACACCCAACACAUCCGUGAGUAGUCAUCAAUGAAGGUUAGGAAAUACAUGUUUCCACUGAUUGUUGUUGUUUGCAUUGGUCCACACACAUCCGUGUGAAUCAAUUCGAGUGGCUUUGUUGCCCUCCAAGCCUUUCCAGCUUAAAAUGGAUCUCUGUGAUGCUUUCCAAACACACACCACUCACUGGUUUCACUGCAUUGAUCCAACUUUGGUAUACCUUGUACCAUUUCAUGCUUUUGCAGAUUUUCUAGACUUGUCAUGUUUAAGUGACCAAGCCUCUUGUGCCAUAGCUUCAUUAAACCUGUCACACUUGCUUUCCUUGCCACCUCUUCUAGGUACUUCAACAUAAGUGGAAAGCUUUUAUUUUCCACUUCCACUCUAGUCACCAGGUUUGAUAGGGACUUGUCAUUAUAAAUCUCGACCACAAUUCCCCCAAAGAGUAGGAAAUAACCAUGCUCUAUCAUUUGACCCACACUAAGUAGAUUCUCAUACAAUCCAGGCACUAGCAUCUUUUCCCUUAUGCAUCUUCUUCCUUUCUUGGUGUUAAUGACCAGAGUUCCUCUUCCAGUGGCUUUGACAAUGUUUCCAUCCCCCAUUUUCACUUUUCCAGUGAAGUUUGUGUCAAUAUCAAUGAGUAAUGACUCAUGUGCAGUCAUGUGAUUGCUGCAGCCACUGUCAAUGUACUAUACUUCAAUGUUUUUCUCCACUUUUGCACUGAAAGCACAUAACACAUUUGCUUCUUCUUCCACUUGGUUUACACAGCUCACUUGUUGCACAUUCUUUGAUCUGCAAUCCUUUAUGAUAUGUCCAAACUUGUUGCAUUUGUGGCAUCUAGGCUUGUCUUUGAACCAACACUCCCCAAAAUGGGAUUUGUCACAGUGCUUGCAUUGCUGCUUGGUUCUUGGACCUUCAUUUGAGUUACUGCAUUGGUUAGGUCUAGGGUUUUGAUACCCAUUUCCUUCCCAUUUCUUGUUCUUGCCCUUCCACUGUGGUUUUUGUUUGCCUGUACUAACUUGACUACUAGAUCCAACAGAGAGUGAUUCAAAUACUUUCUCAAUGGCAAAAUCAGCAUGCCUCUCAAGUCUUUGGUCAAAAGCUCUUAAGGUGCCAUCACAUUUAGCACACUAAGAGUUUCAAUGUCUUUGGUUUCUUCAAUGACACUCACUAUUGAAUCAUAGGGCUUAGUCAAACUGAUCAAUAGUUUUUGGACAACUUUUUCAUUAGGCAGUUCCUCACCAUGUGUUUUCAUCUUAUUUACAACAUCAAAUAGUCUAGUAAAGUAAUCUUUCAACAGCUUAUUUUCCCUCAUUCUUGUAUACUCGAAAUCUCUUCUAAGGGAUUGAAGUUUUACCUUUCUGACUUUGGUGUCUCCUCUGUAUUUUUGCUGUAAAACUUCCCAAGCUCCCUUUGCAGUCUCUUCAUUUGCUAUCCUCGGGAAAAUGGUGUCUGAGACAGCACCUUGGAUGAUUCUCAGUGCUCUAGCAUCCUCCAUCAGGUUCUACUUCAAUGUUUUAAGUUGUGUUUCUGUGAGGUCCUCCUCUAGAGCAUUGACCUCCAUCUCAGGUAGUUCAUACCCGUAUUGAACCAUAUCUCAUAUAUCAUAGGAUUUGAAAAUGGUUGUCAUUCUUAUUCUCCAAAAGUCAUAGUUCUCCCCAUCAAAGACUGGAGUUUUUAGCUCACUGCUACUGCUGGAUCCCUUCAUUUGCAGGGUUGUUUGUUGGUGUUUGUUGUUGAGGACACUACGUAGGUGCUCCCAAAUAUCUCAACUUGCACAGAUUACGCCCAGAAAGUUGUAAGAUCACAAACUAGGCUCUGAGGCCAUGAUAAAGUUUGUUUGUUUUGGUGUUUUGAUUGAUUGUUUGGAUUGGUUUCUUAGGGUUAAAAUGGCAAAGAAUGGAGAGAACUUGGAGAUGAGAUUGACGGCUUCAAAGGCUGUGUAAGAUACAGCAAUAAUAAUUUCAUUAAGUAAGUGAAUGUUUGUAGGGUAUGGUGCAUUGCCAUGACCCAUACUUCUUCAAGAGAGUGAUUGACAAGAGACUUAAACAACCAUUUCAUCCUUAUUACUCCAUAUUAAAUCUUAGCCCUUCAUUGGGUUUUAAGUGAUCUAAUCUGAAGUGUACGCUUGUCACUCACACACUCACACAUACAUUUAAAUAAAAAAAACUAGCCGUUGGAGGCUAAAACCCUUUCUUCUUCUUUAUUCUUCGAUGCAGACAGCAGCCAUGCUCAAGAGCUCUUUGCUGUCUUCGAUCCUUCAAUUCCAAAAGUUGUUUAACUUCCAGCAGCAAUUUCGCCACACCUGCAUCUCGCCUGCAACCAACCACAAAUCUGCUUCUGCAUACGUUGGCACUCCUAUGUCGUCGACCUACCUGCACUCUCAAACCCUUUUUUUACGAAGCCCAAACCCAACUUCUUUAAAUCAACCCUGUCUGUAGCGUUGUGUUCAGGAAAUCUGGAGCUUGAUGGUAAGCUCAGACCCUUUUUUUAUGAAGCCCAGACCAGAUAUGGAGCCUAAGUAAGGGUGUGCUCGGUUUCAUUCAAUUCAGUUUUUGGCCAAAACCAAAACCAAACCAAAACUUAGGUUCUGUUUGAUUUUCUUUUGAUUUUUUUCUGUUCGAUUUUUUUUUUCAUUUUGGUUUUGUUCCGUUCGGUUUCGUUUUAUUUAUUUAUUUUCUUUUAUAAAACUUGACCUUUUUUUAAUAUGGAAUUUAGAAGGGAAGUUGUACAUAUACAAGAUUAUAUAAACCAAUCAUAUUCUAUUAACAACCUGAAUUCCAAAUAAAAAUGAACACCGUAUCCAUUCUAAAAGCAAACAAAUAGAUAACUCUUCCAAGUUCCAAAGCUUUCCAAAACUUUUUUCUAUAACCAAUGAAAUAUCCUCCCUAAUUGAACCAAGUAUAUAUGCUCCUUGAAAAAGCCCUAGACUUAGUUUCAAACUUGUAACAAAGUUUCACAUAAGAAACAUCAUUGGCAUACAUUCAUAAAGCGUAAAAGGAUUUGGUUUGGUUCGGUUUUCGAACCUCCAAAACCGAAACCGAACCAAUAAAGUUCGGUUCGAUGUUGGUCCCCUUUUUUUCGGUUUUCAAUUUUUUGAAAACAUCCCUAGCCUGAUGUGCUCCGCUCGAACGCAUUGGACUGAUAGAGGACUUGGUGAAGGUUGUGGUGGUGGGGGUGGGAGGCUUUGGUGUUGGUGAGGGUUUGGACUACGAGUAGAGUGAGGAGGAGGGCAAGAAGGAGGUGAUGGUUUUGGGAUGGGAGAGUUGGGGUCGGUGAUUGUGGCAAGGCCGAUCUGGGAAGACGAAUCCUAGUGGAUCGACGGCAAGGCUGCAGAGGUCGAGGUUCUUGUAGAAUUGCUAAACUAAGUAGAAAUUAUUAAGGACCAUAGUGUAAAAUAUAGGACAUAGAAAUAUUAGUUUGUAAAUGUUUCUAUAGUCUGUUAGAGUCUUUUGUUAAUAUUGUUUGGACAGUUAGGAUUUGUUAUAAGUGAGCUGUCAAUCAUCUGUGUGGUGAUGUAAAUGUAUAAAUACUAAAGGUUGUAAUCUUAUUAACUCAAGAUAUGAAAAUAUAACUUUUCUAUCAUGGUGUCUCUCACCUCUGUCUAACGACCGAUCCUCUUCUCUCGCUUCCCCUCUUUUCCUUCUUCAAACCCUAAAUCAUGGUAACUGAUGCAUCUCUCUCAUCUGGCUCCGCUUUUCCCUCUCCAAAUUCAUGCCCUAAUUCUUCUGGCACUUAUCCAAUUGCAUCGAUGUGGUGCCAAUCAAGCUCAUAAGCACAAAUUACCUCACAUGGAGCGCGUUAUUUGCUCCGAUCUUCCGUCGUUACAAUCUCACUGGAAGCAUCGACGGAUCUGUGGCUGCUCCGCCCAAACUUCUUCGCGACUCUUCUGGAAAUGCAAUCUUGAAUCCUGAUUAUGUUGCUUGGUAUAAGAAUGAUCAAAAUAUUCUCAUUUGGAUAAAUUCGACUCUCUCUGAUUCUUUGAUUCCGUAUACGGUUGGUGUUAAUUCUUCUCGAGAGCUCUGGUCUAAGCUUGAAUCGCGACUUGCUGCAGCUUCACAGUCUCAUGUUCAUGAACUUCGUUCACGACUUCGCACAAUCACCAAGGGUGAUUCUACUGCCGCUACAUAUCUUCAACAAAUUGAGGAGAUCUCUGAUGUUCUCGCCAGUGUUGGCGCUCUAAUUGACGAACAUGAGCUUCUUUUUGUCAUUCUUCAUGGACUUCCUUCUGAUUAUGACUCCUUUGUUGAUGUGAUCCAGUUUCAUCUUGGAUCUACAACCAUUGAUGAACUGCAUGGUUUACUACUGAGCAAAGAAAUUCAACUUGCAAAUCGCAAGAAACCAACCGCCUCAGGAUAUUUUCAAGCGUUUAAUUCAUCUCUUGGAUCUUCUGCUGGAAUUCUUCCUCUACCUCAUCAGAACCCUAAUUCUCAGGCGUUUCUUGCUCAGAAUUUUCCCAAUUUCAAUCAGUAUCACGGUCGCGGUCAAGAUCAUAAUUUCAAUAGGAAUUUCUCAAAUCCUAGGUUAAACAACCAGCGUCCAAAUUACUCCAACAAUUAUCAGAGAAACAAUCAGAGGAACAAUUAUUCGAGGAACAAUCGUGGUGGUAAAUUUGGUUCAACCUUUUCUGGACACAGACUUACUUGCCAAAUUUGUCGCCAAAAUGAUCAUGAGGCUGCUGAGUGUCCUCAUCGCAUGAAUCCUCAAUUUGGUUCAAAGACUUCUCAAUCUGCAAUGUGUGCCAACGCUGCAUCUUCCUCUGCUCCUCCAACUUGGCUUCUCGACUCUGGUUCACGCUCUCAUAUGACUAAUUCUGUUGCAAACUUGCAAAGUUCAUAACCUUACACUGGCCCUGAGCAAGUCUACAUCGGUGAUGGCAAAGGUUUGCCUAUUUUUCAUUCUGGUUCUUCUACACUUUCUACUACUCAACAUGACUUUGCUCUUCGCAAUGUUUUACAUGUUCCUGGUUAAAAACAAGAUUUGUUAUCUGCAAAUCAAUUUACAAUUGAUAACUGGUGCUCAAUUACUCUUUAUCCUUUUCACUUUAUUGUGAAGGAUCUUUCUUCGGGGAUGAUGCUUUUUAAAGGCCCUGUGAGGAAUGGUUUUUACCCUUUCACUGCCUCUAGUCCAACUGCUGGUAAUCAUCAUCUCUUUGCUGCAACAAUCAAAGCUUCUUCUCAAAUAUGGCACCAACGGAUGGGCCCUCCAUCUUUUCAGCUCUUAAAUAAAAUAGUCUCUAAGUCUAGUCUUCCAGUUUCUACUGGCAUGACUAAGUAUUUGUUCAAAUUGUGCAAUGGGCAAAAGUACCAAACUUCCUUUUGUAUCUAAUUUUCCUACUACCACUCGACCUCUGCAACUUUUACAUACAGAUGUAUGGGGGCCUUCAUCUGUUAUUUCUGUCUCAGGUUAUAGAUAUUAUCUCAUUGUUGUUGAUGAUUACACAAAGUACUGCUGGUUUUUUCCUCUUAAGUGUAAAUCUGAGGUUUUUCAGACCUUUAUUGAAUUCAAAGCAUUGGUUGAGAAUAUGUUGCAUACUUCUAUUGCUGUUUUGAGAUCAGAUUCUGGUGGAGAGUUUUUAAGCUCUGAUUUUACUCAAUUUCUUAAGACUCAUGGUAUUCAUCACCAACUAAGUUGCCCUCACACACCAGAGCAAAAUGGCUGUGCUGAGCGCAAACAUCGUCAUUUGGUUCAGAUUGCUCGCACUCUUCUAACUGCAUCUCAUGUCCCUCACAUUUAUUGGGUUGAAGCCUUUUCCACAUCAGUGUAUCUUAUUAACCGACAGCCUACUAUGAUCAGAUCCUCUCUUUGGGAACAGUUAUUUCACAAACCUCCAUCAUAUGCCACUCUCAAAGUUUUUGGUUGCCGAUGUUUUCCCUGGCUUAAACCCUAUACCACAUCCAAAUUAGAACCUAGAAGUAAACCUUGUGUCUUUCUCGGAUAUAGUUUGAACCAUAAAGGAUAUAGAUGUCUUGAUCUUGUAACCAGGCGAGUUUAUAUAUUUCGCCAUGUUAUCUUUGAUGAAUCUCAUUUCCCAUUUCAACACAUUACUGCCAUCUCUUCUCCAUCUACUUCCCCAGCCUCCUCACCCUCUUCAGUCCCAUCUACCUUAGUAUUUCCUAUUCUAGGUUCUUCCCCACCAUCUCUAUUUUCUUCCACUUCAUCUCUUACUGCACCUACAUUACACCCUACCAUUUCUUCUAAUUCUGCAGACGUACUGUCUUCUGCAUCUCUAUUACACCCUGCCAGUUCAUCUAGUCCUGCACCCUCGGUUCUUCCCACAAACACUCAUGCUAUGCAAACUCGAUCUAAGUCAGGUAUCUUCAAACCCAAAGCCUAUGCAGCCACUAAACAUCCCCUUCCUUAUCAUCUCACUGCGGAUUUCCUACCUACUACCUACUUACAGGCUUCAAAACACUCUCAUUGGAGAUAGGCUAUGCAAGAGGAAUAUAAUGCUCUUCUCACUACUGGCACUUGGUCUCUUAUUCCUUCCCAUCCUUUAUAGAAUCUUGUGGGCUGCAAAUGGGUCUUUCGGAUCAAAAGGAAAGCUGAUGGCAUUAUAGAUCGGUAUAAAGCUCGGCUGGUUGCUAAGGGUUUUCAUCAGCAAAUAGGCUUAUAUUAUACUAAUACAUUCAGUCCUGUUGCCAAGCCUGUUACAAUUCGGCUUCUUCUUACUUUAGCCGUCCAAUAUGAUUGGUUUCUUAACCAAUUAGAUGUCAGCAAUGCUUUUCUUCAUGGCUCUCUGUCUGAAAAUGUUUUCAUGCAACAACCAACUGGUUUUCAAGAUCCUACUCGGCCUACACAUGUUUGUCAUCUUCAUAAGUCCCUUUAUGGUUUAAAACAAGCUCCCCGAGCUUGGUAUGAAAAGCUGCAAAGUGCACUUUCUUCUAUGGGUUUCGUUGGUUCUCAGAAUGAUCAUUCUUUGUUUGUUAAAAAAGCUCCUACCUUGGUGUUUGUUUUGGUCUAUGUAGAUGACAUCCUGGUUACAGGACCAUCUUCUCAGGCAUGUAAGGACACUAUUGCUCAACUCAAUGCCUUAUUCCCUAUCAAAGACCUUGGUCCAUUACACUUCUUUCUUGGCAUCGAAGUAAAAAGGUCAUCCUUUGGCAUUCUGCUUUCUCAAACAAAGUAUAUACUGGAAUUACUCAAGAAAGCUAAACUGGAUAGAGCGAAGCCUUGUUGCACACCUUUGAGCAUUUCCACAUUGGAUCACACUUCUCCUCUGUUAUCUAAUCCCGAAGACUAUAGGUCUCUUGUGGGUGGUUUGCAUUACUUAACCUGGACACGUCCUGAUCUGUCUUUUGCGGUUAAUCUUGUCUGUCAAUAUAUGCACAGUCCUAGAAAAUCUCAUCUUCAAGCUGUCAAAUGAAUUCUGAAAUACCUUAAGGGCUCUAUUGAUUUGGGGUUAUGGUUUUCCAAAUGUGCCACAUCUCUCAGUCUUAAUGCAUUCUUCGAUGCCGAUUGGGCUGGCUGUACUUUAGACAGAAGAUCAACUGGUGGAUAUUGCAUCUUUCUGGGCAAUUCUCUCCUUAGCUGGAGUGCAAAGAAACAAACCAUAGUGGCUCGGUCAUCCACUGAAGAUGAGUACAGAUCUUUAGCCAAUACGGCAGCUGAAAUUACCUGGUUGUGCAAGCUUUUGGUUGAUGUUCACUUGGUUUUUCCCUGUUCUCCCAAACUGUGGUGUGAUAAUAUUUCUGGUUUGUCUUUAGCUAAAAAUCCUAUAUUCCAUGCUAGGACUAAGCAUGUUGAAAUAAAUUAUCACUAUAUUCGGAAGGAAGUGCUUUUAAUGUGCUAUUUCCGUUCAUUUCAUCUAUUCUCAACAAGGUAUUAAAUAUCGGUAAUAUCGGAAAUAUCGGUAGUCCGAAAACACGGAAAUAUCGAUGGAAAUAUCGGGAUAAUAUCGAUAUCGAUAAAAAUUACAUAGAAACCACGGAAAUUGUAAGAAAAACUUGGAAAUUUUUAUUGAAACUUUGCAGGAUGUUUAUUUAGUCAAUUAUCUAUUAGUUUAUCACAAAAAAAUUGGAAGGAAAUGCAUUGCAUGAUGGAUUUAACAUUAUCAAGUUGAUUAUAUAACGAGCUGACAAACAUUGUGAGUGUAGAAAAUAUGUAGUAAUUAAUGAAAGAAGUUUAAACACACCAAUUGGGGCUUAUUGCGGCAAGUUUUUUAGAUAUGACAUCGCAUCAAGUCGUCUUUUGUGUUAAUUUGUAAUCUUAACUGGUUUUGUUGUGUUGUGUCAAUUAGUUAAAUUAAGCGGUACAUCCAAUUGGGGCUUAUAAACAUUUUAAUUCUCCUUAAAAAUCUAAGGGCAUUUAAUCAGGAUUUUAAGUGAUUCUUUAAAGUUUAAGGGGUAUUCGAUCAUGAUUUUUAAGAAAUUCAUACAUUCCAAAUGUAUUCAUUUAGAAAUUGAUUCGAAGAGAUUUUUAAAAAGUUGGGAAACUCGAAAAAAUUAGAAAUAUUUCACAUAAUAUUUUAAACAUUCUCAAAUCGCUCCCUGAAAAUUUGAGGGAAUUCACUUAAAAUUUUACAUAAAAGUUUUAAAAAUUAUUAAACUUCAUCAAAAUUCAUAAAUUUUUAAAUCUAUUAUAAUCCUUUAAAAUCUGAAUGGAGUAAAAAAUUCAAAUCUAAACCUAAUAUGAAACAAUCACUAAAUUACAUAGAAUUUCUAAACCAAAUCUAACAAGGAUCAAUUACAAUUCUAAUACGAUGUUGUAAUUACUUGGAGUUUUUUAGGGCAAUAUGAACACCCACCCCCAUUUAUAAAGAUAUAUUUGUGUAAUUAUCCCCUAAACAUUUUAAUAUAUCAAAUUGGUCCUCUUUGACUACCUAAUCAGGAUCCAAAACAUUGGAUCCCUUUCUUUCUGAAGUGGCCAUGUGGCAGCCCCCCCUCCACUCUUCUCUUUUCUCUCUCUGUUCCCCCGUGACUCCCUUCUUCUUUUCUUCUUCUUUCUGUUUUCUUUUCUUUUUCUUCUGUCUCCCUCUCGGCUCUCUCUCUCAUAUCUCCCUCAUCUCUCUUCUCUGCUGAGGGCCGUGGUUCGAAUUCGAAGCUAUGCUGAGGGCCGUGGAGAGGCAAAAAAUAUCGUAAAUGCCGGUGUCGCCACCGUUGAUCGUGGCUCUGGCGAAGUCGGAGUUGGCUCAGAAGUACGAUCUCAGCUCGCUUCGGCUUCUCGUCUGUGGCGGUGCGCCGCUGAGCAAGGAGGUUGUUGACAGAUUUCGAACAAUUUCUCCGGUGAUCUCUCCACUUCUCUGUCAAACUGUUCGUGACUCUCUGGUUCGUCUUCUACUCGAAGAUAACAAGUUUUCAGGUGAGAUUCCAUUGAAAUUCAAUUCUGACCGACCGACAUAUUUUGAUUGCAUCUUGCAUUGCGUGAAAUUUGAACCUUUUAUGUGAAAUUUAAGUUCAAAAUCGUGUUUUUGCAAGGUUUUUGGGACGAAAUCGGCACACCAUCUCCGGCGUUCUUCUCCGAUUGCACCGUUAAAAAAAUAUCGCGAUAUUUUGACGAAAACCAUUCGGAUACCUAUUUAAAUAUCCAUUGCGCGAAAAACCGAUAAUAUCGGCAAUAUUUCGCCGAUAUUAUCGGCAUUUUCUUCCAUGGUUCUCAAGACCAAGUUGCAGAUAUAUUACAAAGUCCUUGCCCAAGCCCAGAUUUUUGCUUCUCAGAACCAUACUCUCUCUUCGGUUCCCUCAGAUCGGUUUGAAGGGGGAUAUUAAGGACCAUAGUGUAAAAGAUAGGACAUAGAAGUAUUAGUUUGUAAAUGUUUCUAUAGUCUGUUAGAGUCUUUUGUUAAUAUUGUUUGGACAGUUAGGAUUUGUUAUAAGUGAGCUGUCAAUCAUCUGUGUGGUGAUGUAAAUGUAUAAAUACUAAAGGUUGUAAUCUUAUUAACUCAAGAUAUGAAAAUAUAACUUUUCUAUCAGAAAUAAUAUUGCAGGAAACGUUUAAUUUCAUUCAUGCUUGCUGCCAUAUAAAUAGUUACAUGUGUUAAGAUUACAAAGAGUCCUAUUGGAAUAGAGGUUCCCAUUUAUAUCUGAAGUAUACGAUAUUACGUAUCAACAGUGAUUUGAUAAUAACAGAGAACAAAUAGUUCUAUACUCUAUUGGACUCUUGUUUAACAGUUCUCGAGGAUGAGUCGAGAGACUUGGUUGAAUGUAGACCUGGCAGUUUUUGACACGACACGGUGACACGACACGAAAACGACACGAAAAUAACGGGUUUCGGGUCAACACGAUAACUUAUCGGGUCACUAUCGGGUGACCCGUUAAGAACCCGUUAAUAACGGGUUCUUAACAGGUAUACACGCGGGUAACACGUGGGUAACCCGUUUCGACCCGUUAAGAAAAAAAUUAUUUUAAUAAUUUUAAAGUUUAAUUACUAAAAGAUUUAUUAUAAAAUACAAUAGUCAUAUUAAUAUAUACAAUAUAUUCUAUACUAAAUAUAUAGUUUUGUAUUAUUGUUCUAUAUAAAUUAUAAAAAAAUAAAAAAAAGUUUUAGUCAUUAUUUAUUUUUAUUAUGAAAGUUCCUUAUUAUCAUUACUAGGAUAAAUUUUACAUAACAUAUUCUUGUCCAAAAUUAAAAUAUACUAGUAUAGUAUUUGUAUAUGCAAGAACUAAGAAGACAUACAUACAAGUAUGAAAAAUGUGAAAGAAUAUAUAAACACUCGUGAUUUAUCAUUAUUCCUUCACGAAUAGAUAAUUGUUACACUUAUAUUAUUGUUUAGAUUUUUAAAAUCCUUCAAACCCUCAUGAAUAAUGUUUUUUAUUUGAGGGCAAAAUUAAUAAUAAUUAUUGUAAAAGUGUAAAAAAUGUAAAAAAAUAUAUAUACAAUCACUCAUAUAUAAAAAAUGUAAAUACUUUAAAUUAAAGAUCAAAUUUAUUCAUUACAUUCUUAUAGGGUCGAGGAGUGUAUAUGUACAAAAUCAUCAAAAUCAGAGCUAAAAUAACUGUUAAAUUGUGAUUUUUCGUUUAUAACCGUCGAAAACUUUUGUUCCGUUACGUAAUCUCUGAAUGUUUGUUUUUUACAAUUUUUUACGUUUUCAAUCUCGGAAUGUGUACAAAUAAGUUUGACGGUUGGAUCGUUGAAAAAAGUUUCGUAGAAUGCAUAUUGCAUCAAAACGGUAGAUUAAACAAACACUUAGAGUUAAUAUUAUACUUCUAUUAAGUAUAAAAUAAGUUUUUGUGGUAUCCACUAGUGUACAUACUUUAAAUUAAAGAUCAAAUUUAUUCAUUACAUUCAUAUAGGGUCGAGGAGUGUAUCUGUAAAAAAUCAUCAAAAUCGGAGCUAAAAUAACCGUUAAAUUGUGAUUUUUUUGUUUAUAACCGUUGAUAACUUUUGUUCCGUUACGUAAUCUCUGUAUGUUUGUUUUUUACGAUUUUUUACGUAUGAAAUCUUGGAAUGUGUACAAAUAAGUUUGACGGUUGGAUUGUUAAAAAAAGUUUCGUAGAAUGCAUAUUGCGUCAAAAUAGUAGAUUAAACAAACACUUAAAGUUAAUAUUAUACUUCUAUUAAGUAUAAAAAAACAAUUUUGGUAUCCAUUAGUGUAAAUACUUUAAAUUAAAGAUCAGAUUUAUUCAUUACAUUCUUAUAGGGUCGAGGAGUGUAUCUGUAAAAAAUCAUCAAAAUCGGAGCUAAAAUAACCGUUAAAUUAUGAUUUUUCGUUUAUAACCGUCGAAAACGUUUGUUCCGUUACGUAAUCUCUGAAUGUUUGUUUUUUACGAUUUUUUAUGUAUGCGAUCUCAAAAUGUGUACAAAUAAGUUUAACGGUUGGAUCGUUGAAAAAAGUUUCGUAGAAUGCAUAUUGCGUCAAAACAGUAGAUUAAACAAACACUUAGAGUUAAUAUUAUACUUCUAUUAAGUAUAAAAUAAGUUUUUGUGGUAUCUACUAGUGUAAAUACUUUAAAUUAAAGAUCAAAUUUAUUCAUUACAUUCUUAUAGGGUCGAGGAGUGUAUCUGUAAAAAAUCAUCAAAAUCGGAGCUUAAAUAACCGUUAAAUUGUGAUUUUUCGUUUAUAACCGUCGAAAACUUUUGUUCCGUUACGUAAUCUCUGAAUGUUUGUUUUUUACGAUUUUUUAUGUAUGCGAUCUCGGAAUGUGUACAAAUAAGUUUGACGGUUGGAUCGUUGAAAAAAGUUUCGUAGAAUGCAUAUUGCGUCAAAACAGUAGAUUAAACAAACACUUAGAGUUAAUAUUAUACUUCUAUUAAGUAUAAAAUAAGUUUUUGUGGUAUCUACUAGUGUAAAUACUUUAAAUUAAAGAUCAAAUUUAUUCAUUACAUUCUUAUAGGGUCGAGGAGUGUAUCUGUAAAAAAUCAUCAAAAUCGAAGCUUAAAUAACCGUUAAAUUGUGAUUUUUCGUUUAUAACCGUCGAAAACUUUUGUUCCGUUACGUAAUCUCUGAAUGUUUGUUUUUUUACGAUUUUUUAUGUAUGCGAUCUCGGAAUGUGUACAAAUAAGUUUGACGGUUGGAUCGUUGAAAAAAGUUUCGUAGAAUGCAUAUUGCGUCAAAACAGUAGAUUAAACAAACACUUAGAGUUAAUAUUAUACUUCUAUUAAGUAUAAAAUAAGUUUUUGUGGUAUCUACUAGUGUAAAUACUUUAAAUUAAAGAUCAAAUUUAUUCAUUACAUUCUUAUAGGGUCGAGGAGUGUAUCUGUAAAAAAUCAUCAAAAUCGGAGCUUAAAUAACCGUUAAAUUGUGAUUUUUCGUUUAUAACCGUCGAAAACUUUUGUUCCGUUACGUAAUCUCUGAAUGUUUGUUUUUUACGAUUUUUUAUGUAUGCGAUCUCGGAAUGUGUACAAAUAAGUUUGACGGUUGGAUCGUUGAAAAACGUUUCGUAGAAUGCAUAUUGCGUCAAAACAGUAGAUUAAACAAACACUUAGAGUUAAUAUUAUACUUCUAUUAAGUAUAAAAUAAGUUUUGUGGUAUCUACUAGUGUAAAUACUUUAAAUUAAAGAUCAAAUUUAUUCAUUACAUUCUUAUAGGGUCGAGGAGUGUAUCUGUAAAAAAUCAUCAAAAUCAGAGCUUAAAUAACCGUUAAAAUUGUGAUUUUUCGUUUAUAACCGUCGAAAACUUUUGUUCCGUUACGUAAUCUCUGAAUGUUUGUUUUUUACGAUUUUUUAUGUAUGCGAUCUCGGAAUGUGUACAAAUAAGUUUGACGGUUGGAUCGUUGAAAAACGUUUCGUAGAAUGCAUAUUGCGUCAAAACAGUAGAUUAAACAAACACUUAGAGUUAAUAUAUAUACUUCUUCUAUUAAGUAUAAAAUAAGUUUUUGUGGUAUCUACUAGUGUAAAUACUUUAAAUUAAAGAUCAAAUUUAUUCGUUACAUUCUUAUAGGGUCGAGGAGUGUAUCUGUACAAAAUCAUCAAAAUCAGAGCUUAAAUAACCGUUAAAUUGUGAUUUUUCGUUUAUAACCGUCGAAAACUUUUGUUCCGUUACGUAAUCUCUGAAUGUUUGUUUUUUACGAUUUUUUAUGUAUGCGAUCUCGGAAUGUGUACAAAUAAGUUUGACGGUUGGAUCGUUGAAAAAAGUUUCGUAGAAUGCAUAUUGCGUCAAAACAGUAGAUUAAACCAAGGUUCUAAAAGUCACUAGGCGCUAGUCGGGCGGCGGGCUGGGGCCUAGCGCCUAGGCGGCUAGGCGGGGCCUAGGCGGGAGCCUAGGCGGAUUUAAGUAAAUCUAUCAUAUUUCAGAUAAAUUAGUGUCUGCUUCUACUUGAAAUAUAUAUAAUUUCAUCAUAAACUACAAAAUAGAAUGCAUAUAUAUCAUGAAGUAUUGGAACACAAUGAAAACAUGUGAAAUAAGGAUAUAAUGUUUGUUUAUUCAAGUAUGCAACAAGUCUCUUACAAUUUAUUAGAAAAAAACAAAAUGCAAAAUGAAAGUUAUGUAUUUUCUGUCUAAGUGAGUUGCAACCUAGGCGGGUCUAGGCGGGUGCCUAGGCGGGCUAGGCGGAUGCCUAGGCGGGCAAGGCGGGUGCCUAGGUGGUCUAGGCGGUGGGCUGGGGCCUAGGCAUUAAUCGGGGCGGUGGGCUGGGGCCUAGCGCCUAGGCGGCGCUAGGCGGGGAUUUUUAGAACAGUGGAUUAAACAAACACUUAGAGUUAAUAUUAUACUUCUAUUAAGUAUAAAAUAAGUUUUUGUGGUAUCUACUAAUGUAAAUACUUUAAAUUAAAGAUCAAAUUUAUUCAUUACAUUCUUAUAGGGUUGAGGAGUGUAUCUGUAAAAAAUCAUCAAAAUCGGAGCUAAAAUAACCGUUAAAUUGUGAUUUUUCGUUUAUAACCGUCGAAAACUUUUGUUCCGUUACGUAAUCUUUGAAUGUUUUUUUUUACGAUUUUUUAUGUAUGCAAUCUCGGAAUGAGUACAAAUAAGUUUGACGGUUGGAUCGUUGAAAAACGUUUCGUAGAAUGCAUAUUGCGUCAAAACAAUAGAUUAAACAAACACUUAAAGUUAAUAUUAUACUUCUAUUAAGUAUAAAAUAAGUUUUUGUGGUAUCUACUAGUGUAAAUACUUUAAAUUAAAGAUCAAAUUUAUUCAUUACAUUCUUAUAGGGUCGAGGAGUGUAUCUGUAAAAAAAUCAUCAAAAUCGGAGCUAAAAUAACCGUUAAAUUGUGAUUUUUCGUUUAUAACCGUUGAUAACUUUUGUUCCGUUACGUAAUAUUUGAAUGUUUGUUUUUUUACAAUUUUUUACGUUUGCAAUCUUGGAAUGUGUACAAAUAAGUUUGACGGUUGGAUCGGAUCGUUGAAAAAAACUUGUCAUUACGAGUGUUUAUAUAUUUUUUUACACUUAUACAUUAAUUAAAAAAGUAUUAAAGACUUUAGGUAAGCGAAAAUAUACUUAAAACAAAAUUGCGUUUUUAUGUUUUGGAUGUGAUAAUAUGAAAUGUAUAUACUUAUUUAGUAUUAUGUUUUUCAUUUGAUUAUUUAUUGGUUUAACAUAUAUUUUCCUUAACGGGUAACGGGUCGGGUCAUAUUACCUGUUAAUAUUAUCGGGUCGAUUUCGGGUCGGGUCAUUUUACCCGUUUAUUUUAACGGGUGUUACACGACACGACCCGUUAACAGUGGCGGAUCCACAGUGGGGUCGUCGGGGUCGCACGACCCCUUGGAAACCAUGGAAACAACCUUGAAGCUCCCAUAUGCGACCUCUUGGAGCUGGGGUCGUCGGGGUCGGAGGCACGCCAACUGUUCGACAAAAGCCCUGAACGAAAACUGGGCAGGAAGAGGAAGAAGAAGCAGCUCUAUCUCCUCCCUUGCUGCUGCUGCCCCCAAACCCUCAACUCCAUCUCCUCCCUUGCUGCUCCCCUGCUGGCGGCUCUAACUCCAUCUCCUCCCUUUGUUUAUAUUGUGACUUGUGAGUAUUUAUUUUGAAUAUUUUGUAUAUGUAGAAUAUAUUUAAUUAAUUGAAAUUCAAUUCAUAUUUAUUUUGUGAGUUUUUAUUGUGAGUUUUUAUUGAUGGUUUGUUUAUAUUGUGAGUUUUUAUUGGUUUGUUUAUAUUGAAAUCCAAUUCAUAUUUAUUUUGAUUAUGUUGAUGGUUUGUUUAUAUUGUGAGUAUUUAUUUUGAAUAUUUUGUAUAUGUAGAAUAUAUUUAAUUUAAUUGAAAUUCAAUUCAUAUUUAUUUUGAUUAUAUUGAUGAUUUGUUUAUAUUGUGAGUUUUUUCAUUUUAACACCAAUUAUUUUGUUAAAAAUUAUUAAAAAAAUUUAUUAUUGUUCCAUGCACAGAUUAAUUCGACACUGCACCAAACGCCCGACUAAUGGAGUUAGUACUAUCCGACGACUAUUUAUCUUAUCCGACUGAAAUAGUCAGUACAGUCCGAAGUACCAAACGAGGCUAAAAAAAAAUUUCGCGCUGCGCGCGCUAUGACCCCACAAACAUCAUUUCCUGGAUCCGCCACUGCCCGUUAAGAUAUCGGGUAUGACACGAAAACGACACGAACACAGAAAACACGACACGAAUGCCAGGUCAAUAAGAGAGGUUCGGUAUCUGGAUUUGAAGAGAUGUGAAUAAGAGCCAAAAAGAAGCUUGUUAAUUAAGAGAAGAGUAGCCAUAAUAACCAUGGCUGCCAUUGUUUCUCUACAAGUUAGAGUAGAUAGAGUAAGUGAGGGAGACGGUGAGAGCCUUGAGAAAAUGGAGACAAAAAGUAUACAUUGUUAAAUAAAAAUUAAUAUUUUUUUAAUAAUUGUUGAAUUAUUAAUAAAAGAUUCGAGCACUAAAACAUACAAAUAGGAAAACCCAUCAGCCUCCGCCUCCAAACCCACCAGCCAUUUAUACAAUUCAACCGACUUCUACGAAGUUUCGCUCAGAGCGUGGCCUCUGAUCAUAUGGUUCCCCACAGUAGUACCUGUGUCUUCAACAUUUUUGAGAAUUUUGAGGGAGUGAUUGAGACACCCAAAAGCAACGUAGAAUGAUAAAAUCCGAACAAGAAUGUAGCUUUUUUGUGAGUCCAUGAAUUGUUAAUUUGGGUGUUAAUUUAGGAUGUGCUUGCAGAUCACUGGAAGCAACUAGUUUUUUGUUUUGUCCUUAUAUGUCAUUUUACAGGAGGUUAAAAUUGACAUUAAAAAAAUUAUUGAAAGAUGGGUGGAGAAAUAAGACAACCGGGUGGAUUUAUCAGCAUUCAAUUUAAAAUGAGAGCUACUAAACCUACUCUCAUUGUCUUAUUUUCUCACCCACAUUAUAAUCUCACCCAUCUUAAAAAGUUAAAAAAUUAAAAUGUUAUUUCCCUACCUACUAUUAUUUCCAAAAUAACCUUUAAUAUAUACAUACAUAUGAAAUUAUAAAAUUGUCUCUUAAAAAAUAUAACAAAUAAUAUGUAAAUGAAAACCACUAAGAUCUGCAAAUUCAAAUGGAAACGACAAUGAUAUCUAAAUUCAAAAGAAUACGACAACGAAAAAUUUAAAAAUACGAUGGACAAAUUCAAAUGGCCUACACACAAAUUAUUCUUCUACCUUUUCAAUGGAAACAUAUUCUUCUACCUCUUUCGUAGAAGCGUCAUCUUCCACCUGUUCAAUGAAAAAGUCAUCUUCUAAGUCCAUUGCUAUUUUUGUACUUUCUCUGAAUGAAAGGAGAUGAAAAUAUGAGUUAGGGUUUAAGCUAGACAAAUCAUCUCUCAUGCCCAACUUUUUUUAAAUUAAGCAAAACAAGAUAAUUAAUGUUCUUAUCAAUCUUUUUGUAAAUGGACAAAUUUGUAAUUAAAACUUUCAUUAAAAGGUGGGUGGAAAGAUAAGACAUUGGGAUGUGAAUAACAUCACUCUAUUUUUAUUCACAUAAUAAAUUUGAUAGCCAUACAUGCCACGUCAUCAAAUACAUGCUACAU